rnacentral:lncRNA from 1 species
UGGCGUGAAGCCGGAUUGGGCUGAGUGGCGAGUCACAAUGAGAUUUGUGGAUAUUGUAUCCGUACGAUUUAAGUGAAUUAGUCGUGUAUUUAAUAGUUAUCAUCAACGAUUCGACACCCUUCACUUUUUUAUUUUUUUAAAAUUUUAUAUAUAUAUAUAUAUAUAUAGAGGGAGAGAGAGAGAGAGAAUUAUGCUACUAUACUAUCGAUAGUACCAAACGCUUAGUGCAAUCGAGUUUCGGCCGUUCGAUGAAAUGAUGUGCGGUUAAGAUGAUAGUGGUAUCUUAGACUUGAGUGAGUGGUUGGUUCAAUAGUAUAAUCUAACAGGUGGAAAUGAUCAAAUGAUAGAUCUAACGGCAGAAAAGUCGAUAGUAACAAGAGCUUGGUACAAUCGAUAAUAUAGUUGUCUGACUCUCUCUCUCUCUCUCUCUCUCUCUCUCUCUCUCUCUCUAUAUAUAUAUAUAUAUAUAUAUAUAGCAGGUUUACUGUGCUCUUAGAAAAACGAAGGCCUCUGUGCUUCUUAAUUGUUUUCGUUGAUGGAAUUUUCGAAUCGACGAUUAACUCUAUUAGACUUGAUCUAAUGUAUUUGAAGUAUUUAGAAAAUAAAUUUUACGAUUUUUCGAUAUCAUUACCUAGCGAUCAAAAGGGUUUAUAAUUAAUAAUUUUUAAUAGUUGAUAUCUAUCGUUUCCAAAUAUAAAAUUUUGAUUGAAAAUCUUUUGUACUAUCUGCAGUAAGAUAAGAUCUAUCACUGACCAAAGUGGAGAAGUGGCAGAGGAGAGGGGAUUGGGUGAUUCACAGAUGAUGUGGUGGACUUGGUCCAGGCAGGAAUGUUCUCAUAUUAGGCUGUCUCCUCUUUCAUGUACCUAUCAUUACUCCUCCCACCUCUUUAAUUUCUCAGUCCUUCACUCUCUCCUCUAUGAGAGGAGGAAGCCCCACUUGGUACUGCAUACAUUUGCUCCUCUCUCUCUCUCUCUCUCUCUCUCACAGGAUGUUAGUAGUGGGUUACAGGUCAGUUUUUCAAAAACAAUAAAAAAAAUUAAAAUUCAAAUCUAUACAUAUUUAAUAUAAGCUAAAUCUUUUCCGUUCAUGUUACAAUUUCGAUAAAGUUAUUGGUGUCAGCUAUUAAUUUUAAAAAUUUAAUCUGCUAGAAAAAUACAAUCAAUUUACUAAGCAUGCUGACACAACGUUUAUGGAUCUCAAUUGUGACUCGGCCUAGGUCUUCCGUCAUUUAGAUUAUGACUCAGUUCAAUAAAUGUGACUCGGUUCAAUUCGACCUCCUGUCACGAGGCAGGAUGCUUCUCCUUUAAAUCAAUAAUUUUGAAUAUAGUUGGAUAUACAUUUGCUUUUCUCUCUCUCUCUCCAUCUUUACCCUAUUAUAGUGUCAUACUUGCACCAUAUCAUCAGUAAUAAGCAAAUUAUAUAUUUUUUUUUAACAGAAAAAUAUAAUAAAAAUAAAUUUUUAUUAAUCUUGAUAAAACUGGUGAAUUCAAAAAAAGAUAAUCUCAUUGGUUGAAAAUACUAUAUCAGUAGCAUAACUGGUAUAUUCUAGAUUGUUUUCCUUCAGGUCCCUACUUUACUUUCCUCACCUUAAUUUUUUUUUUUUCUUUUUUCUCUCCUCAUUCAUCUUCCACUUCAAGUGAGAUCCCAUUCAAGUCAAGUAGAGGUACUAGUACUAGGAGUGGGAGUAAAGAGAUUCUUUGAAUAAUCUCUCUCUCUCUCUCUCUCUCUCUCUCUAUUCCAUCUACCUCAAAAAAAACCCACCUGUCACAACAUCACCUGUCACCACCACCAUUAUUUUACUACUACCCCAUUUAAAAAUAAUGAUAAUAAUAAAUUUCAAACACUAUAAUUUUAUUUAUUUUUUUUAGUACCAUAUAAUUUAAAAUAUAUCAAUUUAGUAUUCUAUAUAUAUUUUUUUUUCGCCGAUUCUUUUGUUAAUUUUUCGUUAAAUUAUAUAUAAAAAAAUUUAAGAUACUCUAUCUAUAUUUUAUUGAAUAUUCACUUUAGUACUCUUUAGUUUUAACUUUGUCAUUGAUUUAAUAAAAAAAUUAAUAAAAGCGAUAACAAAACGAAAAAAAUAAAAUUAUAGUAUACGAAAUUGAUACACAUUAAAUUAUAAAAUAUUAAAGUAAAAAAGUACGAACUAUAGAGGUGAUAUUUGGAAUUUUUCAAAAAAAAGAAAAGAGAAUCCAAAAUUUUCCCUUGUUUCAUUUCCUACUUCUAGAGAUGCAAUAUAUGCAAAUAGUAGUAGUAGUAGUAGUAGUAGUAGGAGAAAGAAAAGGAAAUACUUUGAAUUGGAUCUCUCUCUCUCUCUCACAUUCUGACCAAUCACCACCACCAUUGUCUCUUUCCCCUGUAAAAUUUAUUACUCUCUCCUCACCUUUCUCCCCUACCCCCCACAAAAUAUAGUUUUUCCCUUCAUCUUCUUCUUCUUCUUCAAGUGAUCCAACUCCAUUAAUGAUAGUACUAGUAGUUGGGGGAGGAGGAGAACAUAGGAUACUUGAAUUGGAUCUCUCUCUCUCUACAUCUCUCUCUCUCUCUCUCUCUCUCUCUCUCUCUAACUACAGUAUCAAAUUUGUCACCAAUCAUCACCCCACCACCACCACUCCUCUCCUCUCGCAAAAAAAAAAAAAAAAAAAAAAAAAAAAACCAAGCUUUUCUUCAUCAUCUUCUUCAAUUAGAUCCAAUUUUCACAUGAUAGCAAAGUUGUUAGUAGUAAUAAUGAGAUGUAAAUAAUUUGAUUUGGAUCUCUCUCUCUCUCUCUCUCUCAAGCAUCACAUUCUCUCACCCAUCACCACCACCACCACCACCACCACCACCACCACCACCAUUUCCUCUCACCAAAUCACUUUAACCCCCCAAAUUUUCCCCUUAAAAAUCCAAUCUUUACCCUCAAAAACCCCAAAUUUUCCUCAUAAAAAUCCCAUCUUUCUCCUCUCUAGCAUCACAUUCCCUCACCCACCCCCACCACCACCACCAUUUCCACUCAAAAACCCCAAUUUUCCCCCUUUUUGUUAAAAAAAUCCGAUCUUUACUCUCCAAAACCCAAUUUUUCCUCGUAAAAAUCCAAUCUUUGUUGUUGUUCAUCAUCAUCAUCUCCUCCUCCUCCUCCUCCAAUUCAUGUCGGAUUCGGACCUCUCGCGGCGCACCGUCAUCUUCGGCCUCCGCCUCUGGGUCGUCAUCGGCAUCCUCGCCGGCGCCGCCUUCGUCCUCCUCCUCUUCCUCCUCUCCCUCUACUUCACCUCCAAGCGCCGCCCCCGCCCCACCACACCGCCACCACCAACCUCCUCGCUCGCCGUCGCCGCGACCGUCUACACCCCCGACCGGCGCCCCGCCCUCCUCCCCCCUCCUCCGCGCCCCGGCAAACCCCUCCCAAACAACCCGCCCAACACCCUCUCGGAAUCACACCAAGGACCCCUCCCCCUGUUCCCCCUCCCCUCCCCUCCCCCCCUCUCUCCUGCCUCGCCACCGCAGGUGGCUGCGCCGCCGCCCGCCGCAGUCCUCCGCCGCGCCGCCGCUCUGCCGGAGAGGCCGACCCUUCGUGGCGGGCAGCGCCGACCACUUGGCGACCCCAGAGGUGUCGCACUUGGCGGUGGGCCAUUGGUACACUCUCCGAGAGCUCGGAGACGCCACGAAGCACGUUUCUCCGAUGAGAACGUGAUGGAGAGAAGGGAGGUAACGGGAAUCGUCUACCACGGCAUUUUGGAGGAUAACACCCAGAUCGCCGUGAAAAAUUUGCUCAAUAAUAGGUCGAAUUUUUCGCUCUUUGUUGCGCAUGUUAGGUGUUUGAUGAUUUUACUCAGAGAAUGUAGUUAUGAAUGAUAAUGUGAUGUUGUUAGCGCAUGUUAUGUGUUCGAUCACUUUUCUCCACAAUGAAAUUACCCAGAAAAAUAAAAUAAAAAAAUGAGUUGUCGAUGGCGAUUGUAUCAUAAAACAAUUGCGUGGGAUUACAACAGGUAUUGUUACUAGUGUUUUGAUUUGAAUUAUAUUAGCUCAUUAUAUUGGGGAUUUUGUUAAAUUUAAUGCCGAUUCCGCUAAACUUAAUCGCCACAGAUCAGCGCAACAUAUGUUUCAUUAUUAUAUGGUAUGAUGCUUGUUUCAAUGUUGUUAAUGCGAUGAUGUGAUGAUCUUCUUUUUUUUCAGGGGCCAAGCGGAGAAGGAAUUCAAGGUCGAAGUGGAAGCAAUUGGGCGUGUUCGGCACAAGAAUUUAGUGAGAUUGUUAGGUUAUUGUGCGGAGGGUUCUCACAGGUACUACUACAUUUUACUUGGAUAUUCUUAUUUAAAUAGAUCCAUUGUUUACAACAUACAUAUAUUUGAGCUUGUACUUCUAUGUUUGCGAAACAACCGAUUUCUCCAAAAGCUUAAGGUUCUUGAGAAUGAUAUUUUGACAUAUUACAUAGAACGCUCCUUCUCGUGUCUUCGCUCAGGACUUGCGAAUAGAUUGUGGGGUUUUAUCUUUUUUUUUUCUUGGGUUAAAUUCUAGAUGCAUCUUGAGACUUUGAAUUGACGGGCUAAACAUCUUUUGAUAUGAAAUGGCGGAUGAAUUUGGUGAGACUUGAACUCAGGAUCUCCUGCUUAUAUGGAACACAAUGUUCUCUGAGGCUGCGUUUGGUAACAGAAUAACUAAGGGAUAAAAUUUUAUCCUAUGUAAUCUGCUAAACACAGCUAAAUUCGACAGGGAUAGUUUCUAGUCAAAACAACUUAUUCCGGGUUAUUCUGGAAUAACCCGUUAAGAGCUAUUCAUUCUCCAUGCCACACUUUACUCUACUCUCACCUACCGCUUCACCUCGUUCUUCGCACCACACCUUUUUCACUAUUCUCCACUAUUCUUAAGAAAAUAACCAAACAUAAUUUUGAUUAUCGUAGGGAAUAAGAAAAUGUCAAACCAAACACAACAUGCCUUCUUUCCCUCUCUAUCCUAGAAUUUUAAGUUAUUCUAAGAAUAAAAAUAUAUAUCCCUUCCGAGAUGGUCCCAUUACCAAACGCUCCGUAAAAGCUUAAACUGGUAGAGCACAGUGUUUUGUUAUCUUAUAUUUGAUGAUACACAUAUAAUGAGAAUGCUUUUCAACUAAUGUUGCAACUCUACUUUCGUAGGAUGCUAGUUUAUGAAUAUGUCGAUAAUGGGAACUUGGAACAAUGGCUUCAUGGCGACGUUGGACCCACGAGCCCUCUCACGUGGGAUAUCCGCAUGAACAUCAUACUUGGAACAGCUAAAGGGUAUCUUCGCUUUCGAUGCCUAUAAUUCACCAUUUUUAACACAUUUGUGCUCAAAUGUUUGGAUAAUCCCUUACUCCCUGUACUUUCUUGCUUAUAGACGAGAAAGUUCGAGGCCCAUAGAGUGUUUAUGUUAAAUGUUUGGGGGCGAGGUUGCAAUACCAGGGCAGUACAGAGAUUAUCCAUGCAUUUUACGCUUUUAUCUUUACGAUUUAUCAACGCACGGCAAUAUAAUGCAGGCUGAUGUACUUGCAUGAGGGUCUUGAACCUAAGGUAGUUCACCGCGACGUUAAGUCGAGCAACAUCUUGCUCGAUAAGCAGUGGAAUCCUAAGCUGUCGGAUUUCGGGCUCGCGAAGUUACUCGGAUCGGAGAGGAGCUAUGUUACGACUCGUGUGAUGGGAACAUUUGGGUUAGCUUUCGUUUUAUUAGUUUACUCGACUUCAUAAAGAAAGAAUAAUAAUAAUAAUAACCAAAGCAAGAACUGAGGGAAGAAUAUAUUCUUGUUCUUUUUUUUUUUUGUAGUUAUGUAGCUCCUGAAUAUGCCGGCACGGGUAUGUUGAACGAGACGAGCGACAUUUAUAGCUUUGGAAUUCUUAUUAUGGAGAUAAUAUCGGGUAGGAUCCCGGUUGACUAUAACCGGCCUCCAGGAGAGGUUAGUAUUGGAUAAUUUUGCUUACAAAAAAAUAAAAUGUCUCGAGUCUAGACCUUACCUGAACUACAGUAAAACACGUAUACGAUGUUUAAACAUUUUAAUUUCAUUACCUAAACUUAGAGUGCGACUUCAUUUAACUAACCUCUCGGUUGGAACUUAAUGCAAGGAUUUAAGCGUCGUGGCAAUGUGUGUCGAUCACAAAAAUACCUGCAUAUGGACAUAUUAUAAAUAUUUUUUGGCAUCAGUAUAUUCUAAUUGCUUGUUAUAUAUCUUUAUCAAAUCUUUUGCACUUUAUUGAGAUAACUACUUACUAAUUUCAAAGAAAAGAGGAUGCUGAGCCGUGCUAUUGGCACGGAAAUCGUAUCGUACUGAUAUCUUAUCGACACGGUAUGGUACGGUGGCCAUAGCUUUUUUGAAGAAACAACCAAAUUCUGUAAGUUUGGUAGUUGAAUCAAAAUUUGUGAAAGUUCAAGUACCCAUUUCAGAAAGCACCCUAGUUUGCUUAUAAUGUAUACAUAGUAUGCGAGCUUACAACGAGCCUUUAGUAAUUCUUAAGGCGAGUUUUGCAGGUCAAUUUGGUGGAGUGGUUGAAGAUAAUGGUCAGUAAUAGAAAUUCCGAGGGUGUUUUGGAUCCAAAAAUGCCCGAAAAACCUUCUUCAAGGGCAUUGAAGAAGGCUCUUUUGGUAGCACUAAGGUGUGUCGAUCCCGACUCGCAAAAGAGGCCGAAGAUUGGGCAUGUGAUUCACAUGCUCGAAGUCGACGACUUCCCUUACCGAGAUGUAAGUCACAAACUCGUCACGAUUUAUCCAAGAAAAUGUAUAAUAUGCUGAUAUUGCAAUUACUGUAAGUUUUAAUGUCCUUGAAAACAGAGUUAGAAAAGUCAUUUAGUAAGGAAAAGUCAUGUGUUGAUGAAAUAAGAUGGGAUAGUCGAAGAAGUUCUCAAAAGAGUUUUCAUACGUACGUGUCAAUUAUUAUGUGACCGAACAACUUAAACGAUGAAUUUUCCAACUCAUUUCAUUUUCUACGCUGUUAGAGACACGUGAGAGCGAAUGAAUUUGCAUGCUACCAAACCAUAUAUGUCGACGGUAAGCAUAUAGUACCAUCAGACGAACUGUCUCUUUCGUCUAUUUUUUACUUUAAUGAAUUGAAUUUCUUUUUGACUAUUCUUGAGAGUUAAUAUCAUGUAGGGAGAAAGAUCGUAAGUGUUAUUAAUUGAUUUGAUAAGUUGAAAUGUCAUUAUCAACUUUUGACGACAGUAAGAAAGAAGCUUCAAAUUGGAGCUUUUGUAUACGUGGCUCAGAAGCUCAUUUUAGCUUCCGAUUGUCGCAAACCACUAUAACUUUUGUACAGAACACUUUGUUUCUAGAAGCUUCUAUUUUGUGUAGUAGCAAAGUUGCUCGAGAAAGCGAGUCAAAAUAAAGCUUUUUUCUGUUUCGUUUCCUUCAUUUAGAAAUAGUGGCUGUUUUCUUAUCCCUAACUGAAUGUGUGUUUUAUUAGGAGCGUCGAACUGCGCGAGUUCCAGGGCAACCGAGAUUGCCGGAAAAACCAGGGAAUGAAGCAGAUGAUAAAACCGAGAACUAAAAAAGUGCGUGUUAGGAUGCGCGGUCUUGUUGAAGACAACAACAAGUUCAGCUACGCGAAUCGCAGAGAUUCAACUUCUCCAAAAUCGACCCCUCAUCGGUUUUUUCUAAAACAAGAGAAAAUACGAAAGUUUCGCGUCCCGAAAUCGACAAUGCAAACUCAGGAAGAUACUAACUAAGUGGCUUUUUAUUUUUAUUUUUUUGGUCUAAGAUCUUGUAAAUUUGCUGCUUCUUGUUUUAUAUAUAUAGUUUUGUGAUCAUCUAAACUGUAUUUGUAUUUAUUAUAUUUUAUUUUUCAUCCUGAUCUUGUUAAGAGAUAUGUGUAUGAUAAAGCUAUUCAUUUUCUCUUUUUAUUCUUGGGUUACUCUUGGAAUAUUAUUAUUUGUUUUUGUUCCAUUAGUUCCAUUGAUUAGUGAAAAAUUAGCUGCAUAUUUGAGAUUAUUGUUUGUUCAAUAUCAUAUUUUAUUUGAAUUAAUAUCAUAUUUUUCUUAACACAAAUUUGUUGACUUAAUUUCCACUAUUUGCUGCUCCAUUUAAUAUUUUCUUUAUUAGUUGAGAAAGAUUUAUGUUAUUAAUUAAUUAACAUUAUUUUGCAGUUCUUUAGAUAACUCUAUAUCUAAAAUGUAAUUUAUUCCCUUUAGUAUAUCACUUAUUUUACUUAACUCCUUGGAUGAAAAAAAAUGCGCACAUAACCCUGAAAAUUUGCAUUAUUAGUACUUAACUCUUUGGAUUUAAAAAAAAGGGACAAUUGCUUAUAUACUCUUGAAAAAUAUUUAUCACUCUUAGAAGAUAAAUAUUGAAAAUAUUUUUUUUACGUUUCAAUUUAUUUCAAUUAUGUCCUCGGAGUUAAAUUCUUAACAAUAGCUGUUAUAUGUAUGAAAUUACUAUUUUGCCCUUUGAAAUAUAUCCUUUCGUCAUUAUCGACCUUUUUUAUUUGCCUUUAAGUUAGGGGUACAAAAAGUAUUUUAAUUUUUAGUCUUUUCAAAUAUACCUUUUUGUCAUCACUAACAUUUCUUAUUUACCCUUAAAUUAAGGGUAAAAGAGAAUUUUUUUUUUUUUAACUCUAAUAGAUAUUUAACUCGAGUGGUAACAGUAGGGAUAUUUAAGAAUAAUGAAGGAACAUACGAGGGAUAUAUUGAAAGAAAAAAAAGUAAGAGUAAAUGAGAUAUUUUCAAAAUUUUGAGGGAUAUAUAAGCAAUUAUCCCUAAAAAAAUGUACGUAAAAAAUGGAGAGAUAUUUGGUUAUUUUAUUAUAUUUUUUAAAUACUGUAAUCUAGCAAAAUAUUUUUGAUCUUUUGAAAAGAGCUAAGUAUAUAUAUAUAUUUGCUUCUUGGGGAAUAAAGUGUGAUAUGCGAUAUAUUGAGGGGGUUAUCUGUAUUUUACCCCAACUUUAUUAAAGCAAUAAGUUUAAUAAUUAUUGAAAAUUAUUUAAGAUUUGAGAAUUCUGGUAGUUCAAUUUAUCUGAAUCAGACAAAUUAAUUUCCCAGCAAUUUAAGAUUUGAGAAUUCUGGUAGUUCAAUGUAUUUCGGUUAAUUGCUUUUUUUUUUUUUUAACUUAAUAAUUGAGUAGAAUUAGGGACCAUAACAUCAUUUUAGCAGCAUAAAUUUUUUUUAAAUUUUAUUUCGGUUCCAAAUAAAUGACCAUAAGAAAAUAUGACAAGUAUAAUAUCGUAAAAUUCGCUUUUUUACUUUUCCUCUAUUAUUUUCAAAAAUCUACAUUUUAUUUCCUCAAAAUUUCAAGUUUAUGAAUUUCGCCCUCCGUUAAGGUGCUAUCACUAUUUCGUCUGUUUCUUAUAAUUUAUACUGAAAAUGCAAACUACAAAAAUAAGUAAAAAUUAUUUUUUUUCUUAUAGAACAAGUAAGAAUAAUUUUGUUAUUUCGUUCCUCUCCAAUAAUAUUAUAACUAUCACGCCCCAGGCCCUAGCCAAAGGAUCUUAGGACAUGUUUGUUUCACCGUAAGUGAACUUUGGGUUGAAGUGAACUUUGAGUUGAACUAGAGUUCAGAUGAAAAUUACUUCACUUCCGCUGUUUGUUUCUAGCUGUGGAAGUGAAGUUCUGCUAGUUCUGUUGUUUGUUUGGUAAUAAAUAGAUGACGUAGAAAGUGUAGUUCUCUACUUCCGCUGUUUGUUUCACCGAAAAUUAUUUAAUCCGUACACUCCCGGUAAACUUACCUCCUAAUAAGUGAUAUUACUUUUUAUUUUGUAACUUAGUAAAUAAUAAAUUAUAAUAAAUAAAAAAUAAUAUAAUUAUAUAUAUAAUUAUAAAAUAAAAUUUAAAAAAAUUAUAUUAAUUAUUUUUGCAUAUAAUUUAUAAUAAUGCAACAAAUAAAAUUCUAAAUUAAAAAAUUAUUAACAUUUAAAUUAUAUAUUAUAUAGGACAAGUGUUUAAAAAGUGAAAAAAAAAGUAACAAUACAAACGAGACCUGAUUUGUUUGUCUAACAUCAAUUGAAAACAGAGACCCCCUGAAAACAUGAAUAGAAGUGACACCAAACAUAUAGUAAGAAUAACAACAAUGCUGCCAGAUACCGCGCCAAAUAAUACACAACGAACCAAAUUUCAUCAUAUUUUAGAAAUGCAAUCUAAAUAAAAAAAAAUUAAUCACUUCCACAAUUAAACAUAUUUAGAUGAAAUAAAGCUAGCAUAACUCAAGGUAAUCACACCCAAAAUAACAAAAUAUAUUGUGCAUACCAAUAUCACAACCAAAAUAACAAUAUCACAACCAAAUUGUAUGGUUACAUCUAUACCAACUUACAUCACAAGCACUAUCAUAGUUAAAGGUUAAAUCCAAAAGAUAAUAGAUAUAUGUUUAAUACAUAACCAUACUAAUAUAAUAACAGAACUUGAAUUAGUUAUGGCAUGACAUAUAUCAAAGAAAUCUACUAAGAUCACUAAAAUGUGUAGUUACGUAGUGUUCAAACCAACUACGCCGCAUAUCAAGAUCCUUCGUCAUGAAUACUCUUGCUUGCAUCUCACUUUGACAAAGGUAUUCAAAAACAGUCUCAUAAAUCUCGCUUUUAUUAAUGGGAGCAAAAAAUUACUUCACUGCAGUAAAUCAAAAAAAUUAAAAAGUGCAGUAAACAAUAAAAUAAAAAAGCACAGUAAAUAAAAAAAAAAGAAAAGAUUUAUUUGCAAACCUUAUCACUGACGAUACGGAAGAAGAUCAAUGGAACACGAGAUCUGCGAGAUCUGAGAUGGAAAAUGAUGGUUGGUGAGAGAGAUCAGGGAAGGAUUAAAGAAUCAAAACAUGAAAAAAAAAGAAAAGAAGAAGAUGAUGAAUAAUAUAACUUGCACCGCCAAUGGAGAAUCGGGCUUCGGAAUGAUCGAGGUCGAAGAAGAUGGAGGAGCGUGCUUGGGAGAGAGAGAUGGGCUUCUUUUUUUUUUUUAGGUAUGUAGAGAAAAAGGGAGGGGUGAACGUGGAGACGUGAGGGGAAAGAAGAGGGGGAGAGUAACCCUAAUGUUAUCAGUGUAAUUAAAGUUCCCAAACUAUUUCCCUUCACCUCACCAAAAUUGACUUCGCCUUCUGGGAGGGCGAAGUCAAUUUCGGAAUUUUGGAUGAAGUGAAUUUUCGACCGUAAUAAUAUUACGGUGAACCAAACAGCGAAAGUGAUUAGUUUUCACCGAAAACUACUUCCCCCCUCCCCAUUUACGGUGAAACAAACAUGCCCUUAGUGUGCGAAUAGAUCUGCCAUAUGUACAAGGACGUAUCCCGCACAUAUUAGGUGUCUAAAACAACCUGUACGUUAAAUAACAAAGCCCUAGAAAUCUAUAACUAAUAAAUAUCAGAGUCAAUAAACAAACAACUAUAUAGGUAUAGCAAUCACUAUAAGGUGUAUAUCCACAAUCAUAUAUCCAUACAUUUUUCAAAAGUACAAUAUAAAAAAAUCUGGCCUCGCUAAUCCAAAUGUACAGCAUGCUAUACUCCAAAACUAGCCAACUGGGAGUCCUCCUCCAUGCCGUACAACCUGGAUAGGAGAUGUUAUCUACAUCGGAAUCCCCUUACCUCGGUCAGAAGCAGGUGCUAAGGCUAUGAACUAACAAAACAACCAAAUAGAGGGCGUGGUACUGCUGAACAGUAGUUCCCAAUUAGUACCACCGACGACAACGACGACCUACACCACUAGAUCUAUUAGAGGGAAUAUAGAGAAUAAGUUGAAUACAAUAAGAAAAAACUAAGCGAAAAUAAUGCCACCUAUCAUGCCUCUACAAUAAAUACCAAAAAGCUGUAAACAGCUAUCUCAUGCAUCAACUAAAUAAAGUAUGCAAUAUAACCUAAUCAUAGACCGACCGACUCAAUAGUUUGGUCAAGCACGUGCCGCCUCGUGUCCAGCAACCACCAUCGCCUCCUCAACCAGACCUGAACUUCAUGGCUUUUCCAUCUAACUAACGUAAUAACCGCCAUGCUUCUCGUCCUUUAUUGACCCCCCUCGCUCCUAGUUGCCGCCAUCAACCACCUUUAUCAUCGCGCUUUCCCCUUUAAAGCCUGUUUCAUCUUCCUCUUCGCAAUGUUAUUGGCCUCCUACAUUUUGCCGACUCUAUCAACCUCUUCCUCUAUUUUCUGCUUCAUGCUACACCUUAGCUCCAUCUCUGCUCGCUAAAGCUCUAGAGAUCUUUGUCGCUGUCACCUCCUGAUUCGCUGAACCUGCAUUUUCCCAUGCACCACCUCCUAAUCCUUGAUGAAUAGUCGAACAAUAUUACUAUAAAUCUUAAAAAUGUAUGAGAGCAAUAUAGUCUUUAUUAGUAUUUUGAGGUGCACGUGUCUGCAUGGUAAUUAUUCUUAUGGACUUUAAUGUAUAUUGAUAGAUUGUUAUGAUGCUUGAAUUCAAUAAUUUUUUUUUGUUUUUUGCAGAAUUGGAAUAUGAAGAUAUUAUAAGUGCUAUUUACACGCUUGAGACGUUUCGAUAAACAUUAAAGGAAUUUUUUAAAAAUAAUUCUAUAAAAUUUUCUAACUAACCGAAUGACCGCUCCAAAAUUUUAUUUGGCCACUAACCCUCUUUUUGCCAACUCAGUGCUAUAUAAGAUAAAAAUGAGAAAGACAAUAAAUUGUUCAUCGUCUUUAAAAAAGCAGGUUAUUAAUAGAUUUUUUGUAUAAGUUGUGAGAGUUUUUAUGAGAUUGUUAGAAUUGUAUGUAGAUUACGAAUUAUAUGUGAUUUUUUCGAUCAUAUAAGAGAAACAGAAAGAAACGGCAAAAGAUUUACACGCGACGCUGAGUUGAACAAAAUAGAAUUUUGGCUAAAUAAAUUUUUUGAUAGUAUCAUUUAAAAAAUUAUAAUUUUGUCAAGGGUUCAUUUGAAAAAAAUCCAUACCAAAAGCCCAAAACCCUUCCCUACCGUCGAAGCCAACAAAAAAAACCCUAACAAAACCCUCCUCUCAUGGCGGAGGACUCCGAAUCCCCUCCAAACCCUAACCCUAACCCUAACCCUAACCCUAAUCCUAAGGACUCCAAGAGGUCCUCCGUGUGCGAGGAGUGCGGGGAGAAGCCGUGGAAGUACCGGUGCCCGGGGUGCUCCCUCGUCUCCUGUAGCCUCCCCUGCGUCCAAUCCCACAAACGCCGCACUUCAUGCGACGGCAAGCGCCGCCGCACCGGCUUCGUCCCCCUCCGACUCUUCGACGACAACCUCCUCCUCUCCGGUACCCUACUAUCUCGCCGGCAUCUUCUUCUUUCCUUUGAUCUUUGGUUACCUAUUUGAUCUUAGGGUUCUUGAGUUGAUUACUAGCUUAUUCCCUGGAAUUUGACCUAGGUUUCAAUUUCAUGCUCAUUAUUUCAAUUGGGUAAAAACAUAAAGAACUUACCUGAGCUAUGGACCAUUUUGAGUUUGCUACCCACCCUUUCAAAAUUUUGAUUUUACUAUCCAGUCUUUCAAUUUGUUUGAUUUGAGUUAGUCAAUGACACUUUGGUUGUAAAAUUUGAAUGCAUCAUUUAUCUUUACAGGUUUGGUCGCAGCUAUAAAUUCAUUAAAGUAUUUAGUUCGAUUAAAUUUUGAAGUCUAAAACCGUUGAUUGACGCAAAUCAAACAAAUUGCAAGGUUGGGUAGCCGAUUUAAAAUGGUCCAUAGUUCAGAUAAGUUUUGUACAUUUUUUACCUUUCAAGUAUAACAAUAGUGUGUCGAAAGUUUGCUUUGCGAGAAAGUCCCUAUUUAACCAAUUCUAUUGAGCAGCGUGAGAUAAUGAAUGGUCUUAUCGUGGGCAAUUUCAUAACUUCAUAUUGAAAUGGUGUUGAAAAAAUAAAUUUUUUAUUGUACCUUACAAUAUUAUGGGAACUUUUGAUUAGACGUUGUUACGUGGAGCCACAUAAAAUGAUGAAAGGUAAAAUCAGGGGCAAGUUUGUAAGUUUGUAUUAUAAAUGAUGUAAAAAUAAAAUAUUUUGUUAUUGUAUCUUUUAUGCAACUUAAAACUUUUGAUUAUAACUUAGAUGUUGUUGUUCUUGCAUGGAAUAGCUGUUAUAAAGAAGACUCUUUUUGUUCUUCAUGAUAAUUUAGUCCUGGUUGUCUACUGUCUACUACUGAGAAAGCGGCACUGUAAACUGUAGAAAAAAGUUGAAAUCAAUUUCAAACUUUAGGAAACAAAUUGUUAGAAAUGAAAUUUUGAGGAAAUUGAAACCGUAUCAACUAGUGUUUAAAAAAGCCCAAGAUGCACCUAGGCGCAAAGAGCAAGGCGUAGGCGCGCGCCCGAGAGAGGUAAGACACACACUUUCACAGAAAGUUGAAAUAACCAAGAAAUUCUUUACUGUACUUUCUAAUAAUUAUUAAGUAGCACUAGAUACUCUUUAAAAUCAUAUUAUCACAAUAAAUAUUCUAUAACUACCCAAAUAAUCACAUUUUCGGAAGAAAAAAAAUGAAGAAAGAAAAGAAGCCAAGCAAUAUAUAUGAUAAUUUUAAAAAAUAAAAUAAUAUAGAUAAAGUUAAAGAACACAUUAUUUUUUUGUCUCCAAAUAAAGGUCAGCAUAAAGGUAACUAAUAAUUCAAAAAUAUAUAGAAAACUUUGAUGUAAAAAACUUAUAAUUAUAAGCACAAGGUCAUAAAAAAGUAACAUGUAUAAAAAUUGAAAGUUUCAAGCCAUGCAUCAUUAAAAGGGUAUCAUGAUCAUAUGAAAGCUAAUUUUAAGGCUCCAAGCCAAAAUACAUCACACUAGAAGUGUUAAUUAGUCCACAUUUGGACGAGCGGGAGAGAAGGAGAGCCGGAGGCAAUGGAGGAGCGGGAGAGAGGGACGAGCGGAGAGGACCAGAGAGAAUUUGAUGAUUGUUUAGUGUUUAGAUUAUGUUAGCUUAGGAUUUUGGAUUUAUUUUAAAUGUUUCAACCUAUUAGACCAAUAAAUAUAUGGAUCCAAAUCCAUUAGAGUAUAUAGAACUAGAUCUAAACCCGUUAGAUGAAGAAGGCACACCUUGAACGGGCCUUGAGCCUAGAGCUAGGCGCGCGUCUAGGUGGCCUAGGCGCGCGCCUUGGCAACCUCGCCCACCUAGGGGCUGCCUAGGCGCUGGCCGGUGAGACUAGCGCCUAGGCGCCGAGGCGCGCUUUUUUAAACACCGGUAGCAACCUUCUCGUCUGUUAAAAAUGGAAGUGAAACUAAUCAGGAUGGAAUUUACAAUCUUCCUCUCUAGUCGGUUACCUAUCUUCUCUGCCCCUACUUGUGUCUCCUUUGAUCUUCCAUACCUAUUUUAUGUUAAUUUUUUUUGUGUUAGUUACAAAUUUAGUCAAUGAAGUUUGAUCUUUAUUUUAAUUUCUGCCUUAUAGCUUCUGAUAUGGCAAUUUUGUUGCUGAACUUUGUUCUGUAUUAUGUUUAGGCCCUUCGGUUGUCUAUCAUCUGAAGAAGUGUCAUGUCAGCACUGUUGUCAGGCUUUUUUUUUUUAGUAAAGUAGAAACCUUUGGGGUGAAAUUGAAAUCUAGGUCAAAUUUCAGGGAUGAAAUUGAAAUUGUGGUCAAACUUCAGGGUUCAGAUUAGAAACAUGAGAAUGAAAUUGUUAUCAGGGUCAAGCUUCAAGUAAAUAGUUGUUACAAUUAAAAGUGUGAGAAUUGAUUUUUAAUACCAAGUUGAUCUUUGCCUUAUUGUCUUGUUUGAUCGGUUAAAGAUUACAACUUUCUGGAGGAGACGAAAAGGGUCACUGAAUCAGCCCAGAGAUUGGUUGCUGGGUAUGGUGGGUAUGUUGGGAAUAAUUUGCCAAUGAGACUACGGAUGCUUCGGAAGGCUGCUUAUAGGCGGAAAACUCAACUGUUCUUUUUACCACUAGGCAUGUCAAAGAGAGAGAAGAACCGUUCUAUCUACAAUCAUAGGUUCAUUUUACAUUUUUUUCCUCUUUGGUUACUAGUUGUUUUUUAUGAGUAUAAAUUGAAUUUGUGAUUUGUUUGGCCAUUUUUCUGUGUAAGUUUAGGAACUUGGGCCGCGCUUUAAAUUUUUCUUGUUAUGUGUUUAAAAGCUACUGAUCUAAAUUUAUUCUAAUUGUAUUCUUUUGCCAUCUUCUGGUGAAUGUGUUAGGCAGUGACUAGAAUAAAGUGUGAUCAAGAGCCAACAAUAAGGCUAUUAUAACAGAAUGAAUAUUUGCUGUUUAUCUUACUGGAUCAAUAACUAAAUUAAUCUUAUUUUUUCCCCUUUUUUUUCCUCAUUCCUUUUGCGAUUUUUUCAUGGUAAUUAAUCUACUCAAAUAUUGUCUACAUUAUUUAACACAUUUCUGCGUGUGGACAGAUGGAUUUAUACUUGUUUUUGCAGGCAUUUUACUAAGAUUUUAGUCGUAGUCCUCUAAAAUUGGGUUUAUGCAAGAUGUGGAUUAUGUAAAUAUUUGGGCACAUAAUGUGUAGUGUAUGCUUUUAAAUGCCUUUUACUUGUAUGUUCACCUGUGUUUAUCUUGUUCUAAGCCAUCGACUUUGGUGAUCAAAUUACUUGCUCAUGUGCUAGACGCAACUUUCUUUGGAAACUAUCAUUCUAUUCAUUCUUGCAUUUAUAGUUUGCUUUGCUUCCAGGAAGAACUCUAUCUUUUGGACCCUCGAGUGGAGGUUUAACUUAACAGAUAUCGUCCUACUUGAUCAUGGGUGAGUUUCUAAUACUCCUAUUCUAAAUCUUAAAAAUAAAAAAAUCCUAGUACAAUUGUCUGAUAUAUUCAAAAGUGUCACUAGUAAAGUGUAUCUGUUUAUAGUACUAUGGCAUGAUUCUCUUACUCGCCUAGUGUUAGGAAUUGCUUCUAAAUUAAAUAUCAAUACAUUCUUUUUCAGCAUAGAUGAAAAUGCCAAAUUGUCGGUUUCAGUAGAGAAGCAUUUAUCUCCUAGUCCAUGGAAAGAUAGGCUUACACAAUUCCGGAAUGUAGCAUUGGAUGAUUUGAAGCUUUUCAUUCGGAAAAGUGCAAAGGUAUGAAGUUAAGUGAUGAUUUUUUUAUAGCGUAUUAUAUUUGGCCUUUUUGCCAAGAGAAAUGCACGCUAUCUCUUGCAAAAACAUUACAUUUUUUUAAAAUUUUUGCAACUGUAACCAACUUUUCAACCUUUAGGAUCAAACUGUCCAUUUGCAAUAGGACAGUGAUGUACACUUCUGAAUGAUCAGUUCCUUAUUUCAAGAGCAUGUAACUGCAGUUUUUAAUUGUGCACCGAUCGUUCAAAACUUCCCAUUGUUGUCCUGUAUAAGGGGCAGUUUGGUCACAAAAAGUGAGUAGGGAUCAAACUACACAUUGUAAGUUACAGGUUUUUUGCGUAAGUGUAAAAUUGAAUCUUAUAGGCCUUAAAAUUGAAAUCUUAGCCAUUGCAACUUAGAAGUGAUCUACAGCAUAUGCAAGGCCUAUAUACAAAAUAACUAGUAGUUCUUGAAACCUAUUUCAUCAGCUGCUCAACAUCAAGAAAUCUUAGGGCGUGAUUAGUUCGCCCUAUGAAAGAUUACUAGGAAUAAAAAGAUGCUCAAGGAUCUUCUUCCUUCUCAUCCUAUUACUAAGAAUGUGGCAUUCUGAUGUUUGGUUCACAUGGUCAUAUUAUUUAGUCAUAUUAUUUAAGAUUACGAAAAAUAUGUAAUUAAUGUAUUUGUUUCCUUAGUUAAUUUUAGAUAAUGUUAUAAAAAAUUUCAACAUCUUUUUAGAAAAGAAAAGAAGAGAGAACAUAGAUUAGAGCGAGAGAAAGCAUAAUUAAAAAAAUAGGGAGAGAGAUAGAGUCGAGGUUAGAGGGAGUGAGAGAGUUGAGAUUUUAGAAAAAGAGGGAGAGAAAAAGCUUUGUUUAGAGAGAGAAAGAUAAGUUUAGAGAGAAAUAUGAGGUUAGAGUGUAAAGGAAAACAAUAUCAACUAGCCGGUGGGUGAGGAGCAAAAGAUUAGACAUAUUAUAAUUAUCUCAAUUCAUUAAUAUAAGGAUACCCACCAUCCCUCAAAGGAGUGAGAUUAGUACUUUGGGGUUAAUCUCAUUCCCAAGUAAAUCCAACAUUACCAACUAGAUUACUUAAUGCGUAUAGCUAAACACUAUCAUAUUUUUUUAUUCUUAUUGGAUUAUUAGGAAUUUUAGAAAGAUAGCACAAACCAAACGCACCCUUAAAGUCAACGACCUAGAAUGUCCGUAAAGCCCAUUGAUCAAUUUGUAGGAUACAUGUUUCUGAAACAUAUGAGUUUUUCAUAUAAGCCCUUCUAGGUAUUGUAGAUCACGUUCGAUGCUUUUGAUUAAGGGUGAUUAGUGUUGGAGUGUCGUAAACAGGUCGUGCAAUUAUGUAGGUAUAUGGACAUGUAGGUCAAUUUAAACCUGACCCUGACCCAUUUAAUUAAUGGACCAGGACUCAAAAAUCAAAUCCAACCCAUUUAUUAAAACAAACUAAGUGGGUUGACCUAUGUAACCAAUUUAAUUAUCUAACAAAGAUGUAUGUAUAUAUUAUAACAUAAUUAAAUAUUUUUUUAUAUAUUUCUCUUCAUUUUUACAUAAAGAAAUUUUUGUUUCAUAUUAAUCGGUAGUUAAUGGGCCAAGUGGGUUACGCAGGUCGUACUAAAUAUGAAUUGUAUAAUUGACGAUUUAAGCAUUGGCUCGCUUCUAACAUAAACCUAUUUAAGCUAAACCGAAACCCGCUAAUAUCUGUCUGGUCGUUGCCAUUUGUAGUCUCAAUUUUAAUUUUGAGGCCCUUAUCAUUGAAUUUCACUCAUUUGUAAAAAGUAUAUAACUCAUUAGUUUUUGUAGCCUGAUCCAAGGAUUUAAAUGUCAUGGCAUGGGCUCGUGAUGAGCACUUGUUGACACGGUAUGGCACAGUGCGUGCCGUUCCGUGAUGUGUGUCAUUCAGAAAAAUAUCUGUGUGUCGAUAUACUAUAGCACGAAAUAUUUAUUUUCUUUGGCACCAAUAUAUUCAAAUUGCUUAUUAUAUAUCUUUAUCAAAUCUUUUGAACUUCUUUGAUGUAAAUACUUGCUAUUUUUUUCAAAAAAAAGAGUUUUGAACUGUGGCAUCGGUACGGGAGUCGUAUCAUGUCGAUAUCUUAUUGGCACGUUGGGCAUGGACUGUGCUGAUAGGCACUUGAAUCCUUGGUUUGAUACCUAAACUUUUUUCUUGCAAAAAAACCAGUAUUUUGUCUCAUUUUGAAACUUUCUUGUUUUAAAACCCUGCAGGGAGCCAAGUCGCCGUUCCGUGAGUUAAACAUUAGGGCCCCUUUAGGCCCGCAACUUAAGAACGUUCUUGUUAUAGAGUACCCUAUAAUACACGUCUUUCUCCCUUCCCACAGUUAUGACUUUGAAAUUGAGAAGGACACAAAUUCGUUUGUUGAACAUAAUGAGACUUCAGAUCAUGAUGUUGUUCCAAAAGGUUCCGUAUUUAAAGAAGAGGAAAUAGAGGAAGGGGAAAUGACUUCAGAAACUCAAGUUUUGGAUAUUGUAGAUUACAAAAUUCCUACUUCUAAUGGUGUUAAAACUAGUUCUGGUAGUAACUUCGGUUUACAGUCAAAGAGGCUUAAGGGGAACUUCGAAAACGGAGGACAAGUGAAGGAUCCUAAUUUGGAGCUUAAUGAUGUUACUCGGCUACAAAACGGGAGUAAUUUUACCCAUAUGAGAGAAAGUAAUGAUGCUGUUAGGGUUUUCGAGUAUGAGAACUUCGACUUUGAGCAAGAGAUGAGAGAUGCUUAUUCCGACCUACUUGGCGAGAUGAACCCUGAUGAUUUCUUGUGCUUGGAUGAUGGAUACAGCGAGGAAGAAGGAUCUAAGGAAUGCAAAAAUGCCCAAGAUUAUGGUGGGCUUUUAUUAGGCGCCGAAGAAUUAGAGGAAGGCGAGAUACCGAGCGUCUGAACUUGAACUGAUCACUAUGCGUUUGGUGAAGCCGCGAAACGAAACAUAAUGACUACAAUUUGCUUUCAGUUUUUGAUCAACCGGUCGCCUCGUGGAUUCACAGUUAAACUUGUAUUCCAUUGUAUCCUUAAUCAUGAAUGCAAUUUAAUGGGACAGCAAUACGGGCGCAUGUCAUCGAAGAACAUGGCCGUGUGUAAAUUUCUCUGAGCUUCGUUAAAAUGAGUUCCCUUCUGGGUUCUCUUUUAAGUGAGUGAAUAUCAUGUAACAAGUGAAUUUUGGUCAUCUGUCGUUGUAUAAUGCGAAAUUUUGCAGUUGAGCUUGUGAUAAUUAUGAGGCUUUUUGUUGGUUUCAGAUUUUCUUUUUAAAUUUGUUUCUACUUUUCCAUUCUGUUGGUUUGAUUUCAAUGUACUGCAACACUGCUUUUCAUAGAAUCUGAAUGCUAAGUUUCCGGUCAGUUUCAGUUUAAAACAGAUACUGAAUCUGUUUCAGUAGGAAUUGCAAAACUUGGUUCUCUGCUUCAACACAUCCUGAAUGAAUUAUUGGUGGGAAAGGAAGGGUUAGUUUUAUAUUGGGUUAACUAGUGUAAUGGCCCGCGCUUCACGGCGGGAGCUAAUAACAUGAGAAGCUAAUAAGAUGAUUAUUUUAUUAUAUUUAUUUAUUAAGAAAUAUAGAGAUACAUAUAACAUUCAUAUUAUGUAUGAUAACUAAAUACAUAAUACAGAUAAUCUAAUAUGAUAUAAUAUCAUUUAUAAUGCAAAUAUAAUUGGUAAAAUAGUUUCCAGAUUAUGGCCUAUCUAUUUCACUUGAUUUAUUGCAGGUGUUAAUCUUCCAUGACCCUUCUCCAGUCUUCGAACUGUAUAAGUAUGAACAAUAUCUCACAUAUAUACGACAACUGCAAAUAUGUUGGUUUAUCAUUAAGUCUGAGUGCAUUGCAAGUAAAGAGACUUACUGAUAUUUUUUUUAUUUAUCUGGUCAAAUCAGCAGUUCUUGGCGUGUAUCAUGUUGGUUUAUCAUGUUGUUUUUUAGAGUUUAAGUUUAUCUCCGAAUUCAAGUACGUCGUGGUUAUUGCAAACAUAGCAUUCAAUUUCCAUACCGGCUAUACCGAUCCAGAGAUUUUUUCAGAUGAGAUUGUUCUACAAUUCACGGUGGAUAUUCACUUGGGUGUGCUUCUAACCUCCCCGAGUAUGUAAACUGCCUCUCACAUUCUGCAGGAAGAGAAGAGGAAAAAAAAUGAAAUAUCAACUGUGCCAAAAAAAUUAGAAGCUACAAUUUAAAAUAUUCACAGUAACUAAAACUUUAGAUUUAGAAAAAAAUAGGCGAUGUGGCUUAACGACGGAACACCGUUUUUCGACGAACUCUUUUUCUCCACCAAAGUCAAAACAAAUUUAGCGAAAAAUUUUAUCCGAAAAAACUGAAAUGUAAGUAGCCCAACAAUGUUAAAACAUCGUAAAAUAAUUAGAGUAACAGAGACAUAAUUAUUAUUAUUUAUUUAUCUAGUCAAAUUAGUAGUUCUGAGCGUGUAUCAUAUUGGUUUUUAGAGAUAGAAUUAUUUUUUUUAAUUUGUCUCGUCAAGUUAGCAGUUCUGAGCAUGUAUCAUGUUGGUUCUUGAAGUCUAAGUUUAUCUUCGAAUUCAAGCCUGCAUGGCUACUGCAAACAUGGCAUACAAUUGUGUAAUUAUUAAUAUUUGAUAAAAAAGUAUAAAAGUGAUGAUGCUAAACGUUUGUACGUUUUAUCUUUUCUACCCAAAAUUUGAAUUCCAUUUUAUGCUUAAUUACUGAAACUGUUUGGUUAAAUUGUGAAUUAUUAGCAGUGAUAUUAUUAGUUCCAAAAAAUCAAGUUUAUCUUUGAGCUUGAGUGCAAUGCAAGCACAAAGACAUUUUUUUUCUUUAUUUAUCUGGUAAAGUUAGUAGUUCUGAGCGUGUAUCAUGUUGGUUCUUGAAGUCUAAAUUCAUUUUCGAAUUCAAGCCCAUACAGCUACUGCAAACAUGGCAUCCAAUUUCCAUCCUGAUGGUGCCGAUUCAGAUUUUUUUUUUUUACAGAUGAAAUCAUUCUACAAUUCACUACACAAAUUUACUUGGGUGUACUUUUAAUCUUCCCGACUAUAUAAACUGCCUCUUUAGAUCCUGCAGGAAGAAGGAAGGAAAAAAUUUUAUGAGUUGUCAAUUGUGCUAAAAGACUAAAAGCUCUAAAAAUAAAAGAAACUAAAGAAAUGUGUUAAAUCUGAAACAAAAGGUAGGAAAAAAAAAACUACGGUAGCCCCAAGUCAUUACCUCUGCACCCUUCGCCGCCGCCGUUGACAAUGGGUUCGCUAUCAUUUAAAAUUCCGAUCAAAUUUUUUUCUUAACCAAAUCAAAACAAAUUUACAUAACAAUUUCGCCAAAAAAGAGUAAAAUUAAUCCAGGCACUAAAUGCGAAAACAGAAAACAGCUUAAAACAAUUUUGCGCGAGUGGAGGACAAAAUUGUAAGCAAAUUAAUCCUCUCCCUUUCUUGACCCUCUUUUUGCUAGUUCUCUCAAUCCCUUUUUUUCCUUUUUUCCUCCGGCUACUUUGUGCAUGUGCCCGAGAUGAGAUCAAAAGAAAUUGCAGAGAGAGAAAGGGGAGAAAUAGGGAGACAUGAAAGUUUUGUUGGGUAGAGAUCGGUUAGGAAGAAUUGUUGGGAAAUAGGGAAGAGAGAGGGAGAGGUGAGAGUUUCCAUGUGAGGCCAUUCGAAAGGGAGAUAGAGACCAUGUAUGUGUGUUUGUGUGACAGAGAAAAUUAAUACACACACAAAAACUUAUAUGAAAAAAGAGGUCGUAGCUGAAUGAAGGAACGGCACAUAAUAUAUUAACAUUAACUAAAACUUCAGAUUUUAUAAAAGAGGCGACAUCACUUAAUGACGAAACGCCAUUUUUUUGAUGAAUUUUUUUUCUUCACUAAAUCAAAACCACAGCAACAAGAAAAUCCAUGAAAAAACCUAAUUUAAGCAGACCGACAAUGUUCAAGUCGCGUAACUAUAUUAACAGUAACUAAAACUUUAGCUUUAAUGAAACAGGCGACAUGACUUAAUGAUGGAACGCCUUUUUUUGAUGAUUUUUUUUUACUCAAUCAAAUCAAAACCUAAAAUUUAAGCAGACCGGCAAUGUUCAAGUCGCGUAACUAUAUUAACAAUGACUAAAACUUUAGAUUUAAUGAAACAGGCGACGUGACUUAAUAACGGAAUGCCAUUUUUUUGCUGAUUUUUUUUACUCAAUCAAAUCAAAACAAAUGCAGCAAAAAAAAUUCAUCAAAAAAACUGAAAUUUAAGCAAGCUAGCAAAGUUCAAGCAGCAUAAAAUAAUUAGCAAACAACUCAAGGUGAAAUUAAAUAAGUGAAAAGUUAUUUUUGUGUGUGUGUGUCGGGUUAAAAAAAAUUAUAGAGAGAGAGAGAGGGAAGAGAUUAGAUUUUUAAUUUUUGAGAGAAGGUGCAAAAGAGGCACAUGCAUCCCUCUUGAACAUAGGCCAUGUGAGUCCAUGUGAUUGGAAGAGAGACACCAUGUGAGGGAGAGAGAGAAAACCCAUAUAAAAGAAAAGCCACGUGGCUCGACGAAUGAACGGCUUGUUUCUUGAAGUUUAAGUUCAUCUUCGAAUUCAAGCCCGCACGGCCCGACUGUGCCGAUUCAGAUUUUUUUUUGCAGAUGAAAUCACUCUACAAUUCACUGCACAAAUUUAAUUGGGUGUACUUUUAAUCUUUCCGACUAUAUAAACUGCCUCUUUAGAUCCUACAGGAAGAAGGAAGUAAAAUUUUUUUUGAGUUGUCAAUUAUGCUAAAAGAUUAAAUAAAAGAAACUAAAGAAAGGUGCUAAAGCUGAAACAAAAGGUAGAAAAAAAAACUAUCCGUUAACAAUAGGUUCGCCAUCGUUUAGAAUUCCGAUCAAAUCUUUUUCUUAACCAAAUUAAAACAAAUUUACAUAACAAUUUCGCAAAAAAAAAGUAAAAUUAAACCAUGCACUAAAUGCGAAAAUAGAAAAACAGCUUAAAACAAUUUUGCGCAAGUGGAGGACAAAAUUGUAAGCAAAUUAAUCAUCUCCCAUUUCUUGACCCUCUUUUUACUAAUUCUCUCCCUCUUUUUUUUUUUCUUUUUCCUCCAGCUACUUUGUGCGUAUGCCCGAGAUGAGAUCAAAAGAAAUUGUAGAGAGAGAGGGGAGAGAUAGGGCGAUAUGAAAGUUCUGUUGGAUAGAGAUCGCUUAGAAAGAAUUGUUGGGAAAGAGGAAAGAGAGAGGGAGAGGUGGGAGUUUUAGUUCGAGAGAGAGGUGUCAAAGGAGCACAUACAUUCUCUGUGGACAUAGAUCCCAUGUGAGGCCAUUCGAAAGGGAGAUAGAGACCAUGUAUGUGUGUGUGUGAGAGAGUAAAUUAAUACACGCACAAAAACUCAUAUGAAAAAAAGAGGUCAUAGCUGAAUGAAGGAAUGCCACAUAAUAUAUUAACAGUAGCUAAAACUUCAGAUUUUAUAAAAGAGACGACGCCACUUAAUGACGGAACGACAAUUUUUUGAUGAAUUUUUUUUUUUCUUCACCAAAUGAAAACCACAACAGCAAAAAAAUUCAUAAAAAAACCUAAAAUUUAAACAUACCGGCAAUGUUCAAGACGCGUAACUAUAUAAAUAGUAACUAAAACUUCAAAUUUAAUGAAACAGGCGAUGUGACUUAAUGACAGAAUGCCUUUUUUUGAUGAUUUUUUUUUUUACUUAAUCAAAUCAAAACAAAUGUAGCAAAGAAAAUUCAUCAAAAAAACUGAAAUUUAAGCAGGCCAGCAAAGUUCAAGCAGCAUAAAAUAAUUAGCAAACUACUCUAGGUGAAAUAAAAUAAGUUAAAAAUUUAAGCAGCUUGGCAAUGCAAAAAAUAGUGCAAAAUAAUCAGGAAAGAAGAGGGGAAAAAAAUAGAGCAAACAAAUUUUUUGUUUUUCUUGACCAUCCUGUUACUGCUUUACUUUCUUUUUUUUUUUCCUUCCUGAAUUCUUUUGUGUGUGUGUGUGUCUUGGGUUAGGAAAAAAUGUUGAGAGAGAGAGGGAAGAGAGAGGAGAGAGAUGACUGUUUUAAUUGGAGAGCAAAUACAUGCCCCCUGGACCCCCUGGACAAAAGGUCAUGUGAGCCUAUGUGUGCGUGUGUGUUGGGAUAGAAAGAAUUGUAGAGAGAGAUGGAAGAGAGAGGGGAUGUAAAAUAGGCAAGUAUAUGGCCUAUGGAUAUAGAAUCCAUUUGGGACCAUGUGAAAAGGAAGAGAGGCCAUGUGAGAAAAAGAAAACUCAUAUGAAAAUUUGACGACGUGGCUCAUCGAAGGGACGUCGUUUGGUUUAUCCUUUAGUAUAAAAGCUAAAAUGUAAGCGGCCCGGCAAUGUUAAAGCAGCGUAAAAUAAUUAAAGUAACUAAAACUUCAAAUUUAAAAAAACAGGCGACGCGGCUUCAUGACAGAGACACAUGCAUCCCCCUUGAACAUAGCCCAUGUGAGUCCAUAUGAGGGAGAGAGACCAUGUGAGGGAGAGAGAGAAAACCCAUAUAAAAGAAAGGCCACGUGGUUCGACGAAGGAACGACAUUUGGUUUCAACUUUAGUAUAGAGUUUAAUUUCAUAUAGGUCCCUACAAAUAUAGUAUAUUCUUAUAAAGUUCAACUUUCAUAUGUUGUUUCUGUAAAAUUUCUUAUGUUUUUAAAUAUGUCCCGACGGUUAAAAUGUGUUAGAAAAUUUUAGUUAAUCAUAGGUUAAAUGCUUAACCAUGGUUAGUUUAUGAGAUAACUUAACAUUUUUGUCCCUCUUAUAUUAUACUGUUGUGAUUUUUGAAAGAGCAUAUUUGUGAUUGGGCACAAGAGAGGGGAUAAGACCUUAUCCCCUUUUGUACCCAAACACGAAUGAUAAAGGUAGGAACAAGUUGUUCCCACCCUUAGGUGGAAUAAGGGUUGGAACAAGCUGUUCCCACCACUAUUUUUUAAAAAAGAUUUAAAUUUAAAAGUUUUAAUUUUAAUUUUAAAUUUUAAAAUUUAAAAUUUAAAAUUAAAAUUUUUAAAUUUACAAUAUGAGAGUUUAAUUUUAAAUUUUAAUUUCAAUUUUUGAAAUUUAAAAGUUAAAAUGUUAAAUUUAAAAUUAAAAUUUUAAAUUUAAAAAUUCAAAUUCAAAUAUAACGAGAGGGAUAAUAUCAUUUUUCUAUUUAUAACUAUCCACUAUUCUUCUUAUUCAAACUUAUUUAUCCAAACGCUAUUUUUCUUAUUCUCAUGAGAAUAAUCAAAUUUUUAUCCAAAUACAAAAUUGGUCUAAUUCUUGUUUAUACAUGAACUUGUACUUAUCCCUGCAAUAAGCAGUUCUUACUUAUAUCCGAACCAAAUAAAGCCUCUCUUUAUGGACAGAUAGGGAUAAGUACUCAAUUUUAAAAUUUUGCAGGAAUAUAAAUGCAAAAUUACGCCCCCGCCCCCCCUACCAAAAAAAAAAUUGCAAUCUCUCUCUCUCUCUCUCUAUAGUGAAAUCGGGUGGCAAUUCAGCUCGCUGUUCACGAGCCAGCUCGUGUUCGGCUCGAAAUGAGAUCGAGAUCGAACCGCUCGUUUAAACGAGCCGAACACGAGCUGAAUUUUUCAACUCGUUUACUAAAUGAGUCGAACAUGAGCUAGGAUCAGCUCACUCGUGUUCGACUCGAUAACGACUCGAAUACAUAUAUUUUAUAUUUAUAUAAUUUAUAUUUUAUAUUUAUAUAUAUAAAUAAAUAAUUAUAUAUAUAAUACAUAUUUUAUUAUUUAAUUUUAAGUCCAAUCUAAAUAUAAAACCUAAUUCAAUUAUAAAAAAAAUCUAUUUAUAUGUAAAAUUUCAACUAUUAAAUCAAAAUCUAACUGAUAAUAUCUUAUCAUUUUACUUUUAUAUAUAUCUUUUCUAAUUUCACGAGCUGAACUUUUUGACUCAAUAUUUUAAUAAACAAGUUCGAAAUUGGCUCAUUUAUAAAAUGAGUCGAACAUAAACACGAACCGACCCUAGCUUACUCGUAUUCGGCUUGUUGACAUCACAGAUUUAAGUGCCGUUGCUCGGAGUCGUACCGAAAACUUGCCGGCACGGUACGACACAGUGCAUGCUCAGCCAUGCCGAUGCGUGCCGGUCAAAAAAAUUUUUGUGUGCCGACACAUAAUAGCAUGAAAUAUUUAUUUCUUUAGUGACAAAAUAUUCUUACUAUUUAUUAUGUUUUUUUAUCAUAGUUUUUGAAUUUUAUUGAGAAAACUACUUACUAAUUUAAAGAAUAGAGAAUUUUGAACUGUGCUAUCGAUAUGGGGUCUGUAUUGUGUCAUAUUUUAUUGGCAUGAUACGACACGGUGGAUAUGAUCUGUGUCGACGGAUAUUUAAAACCUUGGUUGACACCCUUUAGAUUCUCAACCUCACAAACUCUACAUAAUUCUCUCUCUCUCUCUCUCUCUCCACUUCAUUUCAAACUAUACCCCUCACAAGCUCCGCACCACCUAGUACCUACCAGGGUUUCUCGAUAAGGUGGGGCCCACUUCAAUCUCCCUACAUCUUUUUCCCCAAUUUUUUUUUGUAUUUUUUUUUUUAAUUUGCGGUUCAUAAUCUUUAUUUUACUUGUUGAUUUGUUGGAGAAUUUUGGGAAUUUUAUUAAUUUAAGUCGUAAUCGCUACGCCCUGGAUGAUUCAGUGAGUGAAGUGGUGGAGUAAUUAGAGUGGGGAAAAAAAGGUUUUUUUUUUUAUUUUAAGGUACUUUUCGCAUUAAAUGUAGCACUGUGUGCAAAUAUCGGAUUAAUUUUGUUAUUUUAAUGGGUUAUUUUAGCAAAAAUUUAAUCAUUUUUAUCAUGUUCUUAGUGGAUUCUAAGCAAAUAUUCAAAGCAAAUUAGUUAGUAAGAUUCUUAAAAUGUUGAAAAUAAUUAGAACAAUAAUUUGUUUAUGCUCAAAUAGUAAAAAAUUAGGUUAAAAGAGAUCAGUUUUAGUAUCUGCUUUUACAUAUUUCCAGUAAUUUCUCUUCUUUUUUUUUUUUGGUCUACAAUUUUUUUUUCAUUUCUUAUUUGCUUCACAUCUUAAUUUGGGAAUUUUAUUACUUUAAGGUGUAAUCACUACACCCUAGAUGAUUCAGUGAGUGAAGUGGAGGAGUAAUUAGAGUGGGAAAAAAAGAGGGUUUUUUGAUGGUAUAUUUCGCAUUAAAUGUAGCACUGUGUGCAAAUAUAGGAUUAAUUUGACUAUUUUAAUGGGUUAUUUUAAAAAAAAAAUUAAUUAUUUUGAUCAUGUGCUUUGUUGAUUCUAAGCAAAUAAAUUGGUUAUAUAUUUGUUAGUGAAUUCAAAGCAAUUUAGUUAGUAAGAUUGUUAAAAUGUUGAAAAUAAUUAAAACAAUAAUUUGUUAAUGCUCAAAUAAUAAAAAUUAGGUAGAAGGAGAUUAAUUUUAGUAUCCACUUUUACACAUUUCCCAGAAAUUCCUACUUUUUUUUGGUCUAACAUAUAUUUUUUUCCAUUUCUUAUUUGCUUCAUAUGUUAAUAUGUUUUGUAAAUUGUUACUAUGAUUAAAGAUAAUAAAUAAUUCAGAGAGCAAAUAGAUUUCAUAGCCUAUAAUUAAUUGGUUUCUGCACAAAAUAUGAAAAUUUAUGUGCAAAUUAAGUUUGAAGAUAAUUUUUAGUGACAUUUUCUACAUAAUUUUUUGAAAUUUCUUUUUCUCACUUUAAUAUCUUUGUUUCUUUCUUAUUUGCUUCAUGUCAUAAUAAUGUUUUGUUACUGCUCAACUUUAUAUUUCUUAUCAAAUUCUAAGUAAUCCAGGUAGUAACAUUUUUGCAAAUUACAAUGAUGGAAAUAAUAAGCAAUUUAGAUCGGAAACGACUUCAUGUGUAUAAUUAAUGGUCUUUUUCUGCAUAUUUUUAGGUGUUUUUUCCCCCUCUCUAUACAGAUUUUUUUACUUCUUGUUUGCUUCAUAUCUUAAUAAUAUUUUGUAUCGCGAUCAACAAUUCUAUUUUGCAGGUUUAGACAUUGUGUGGUUUCGUAAAAGUUUCUUCUGUAAUUGAGGAGCACUGAAUAAUUUGAGCGAAAAGCAUGAAUCCCUACAUAGUUGGCAUAUUUGUACCUGUUAUAUUAUCCUUGAUGUUACGAAAGAGGAAGGAUAAUAAGAAGAGGGGAGUACCGAUCGAUGUUGGCGGAGAACCUGGAUAUGCUAUUCGUAAUUACCGUUUCGCCACUCCCGUGGAGUCGCAUUGGGACGGAGUAUCCACACUUGCUGAGUUAUUUGAGAUGUGCUGUACAAGAUAUGCCCACACGCCUCUGUUCGGAUCGAGAAAAUUGAUUUCGAGGGAGAUUGAAGUGAAUUCGGAAGGGAAAUCAUUUGAGAAGCUCCAUCUGGGUGAUUAUGAGUGGUUAAGUUACGGCGAGGCGUUUAAUGUAGUGUGUCAUUUUGCGUCUGGGUUGGUGCAAAUUGGGCACGGAAAGGAUGAACGCGUCGCUAUUUUUGCCGAAACUCGAGCUGAGUGGCAGAUUGCUUUACAGGUAACAGUGGGCAGUGGAUGCUAAUAAAACUUUAGCUGUUUAGAAAAAGGUUUCCUUGUAAAUUAUUCGGUUUUUGUUUAUUUACAAAUGAAAGAAUACUUUUCCUCAGAAAACAUGAACUAAGAUUUUGUAGUAUCAUUUCUAUGGAGAUUCUGAAAUUUGUUUACUGCCGAUGUGACUUAUGAUCACAUUUUUACUACUUUUUCUUUUUUAGUUGCUAAUACUUGUAUGUCGUUUUUCGUACAAUAGGGUUGUUUUAGGCGAAGUAUCACGGUUGUCACUGUAUAUGCUUCUUUGGGGGAGGGAGCUCUUUGCCAGUCAUUAAACGAGGUUUGCGCUCCUACCAUGUUUAGUAUUAUUGUAUUAUAUCAUAGUGUCGAUCCUACAGUUUACAUUAAUGUAUCUUUUAAAACUUUCCCUUCUUGUUUAUUACUUUACAUUUGAAAGUGAUCAUUUCAUCUUCUGUUAUUCGUUUUUCAGCUCUUCGUGGUUUUAUUUCUUCUGAAAUGCAUCAUUUAAAUGCGAAUCCUUCCUUCUGUUGACUCUCCUUAUUGGCUAUUCAGACUGAGGUUACAACUGUAAUUUGCGGACCUAAAGAAUUGAAGAAGCUGAUUGCUAUAAGUGGACAACUCGACACGGUAAAAAGUGUAAUAUAUAUGAACGAGGAGGGAGUCUCGUCUGACGUCUCCUCGGCCGAGAAGAACACUAACUGGAAAAUCGUACAAUUUGAGGAAGUUGUGGAAUUAGGAAAGGAAAAUCCUGCUGAUGCUGAUUUGCCUGCCUCAGCUGACAUUGCUGUGAUCAUGUACACUAGUGGCAGCACUGGCGUGCCGAAGGUUCGUUUUAAUUCGUUUUAAUUUAAGUUAGUUUCUGCAUUUGACGAUAUUUUGUCUAAAUUUCGCAAAACAUCCCUGAAAAUUGGUGACAUUUCUACAUUUUCCCUCUGAGUAACUAAAAACGUACAUUUAACCUCCUCAGUGUUUAGAGCUUGUAACUUAAGUCCAUUCGUGUCAGAUUCUUCAUUUGGGAAUUGGGGCGUAGAAAUGCGUAAUCUUAGAAUAUGAUAUGAAUACCCAUUACACUACUUUUCAUGAUCGAAAAUGAUCAUAUUCUAAGAAUUUUCUUUAAAUUCUUAUUGGCGAAUCUGAUAGGAAGGGACUAAGAGCUAGUACUCCAAAUAUGGAGGGGGUUAAAUGUAGGCGAAUGGCGCUUGUUUAUACAAGCCUAACUUGCUUGUUUUUGGCUUCUUGUGAUGUAGGGAGUAAUGAUGACACAUCACAAUGUGCUAGCUACAAUUUCAGCUGUUAUGACCAUCGUCCCCGACAUCGGAAAUAAUGAUGUAUACAUGGCAUACCUGCCAUUAGCUCAUAUACUCGAGCUAGCAGCCGAGGUAAGUUAGAAUCAUUAGUGCCUUUAUGGCUUGGCUCUUAGAACAACUUCUCUACUCUAGAAAGCAGCAGCUGAGUAUUCGGCAGACGAAAGGUCUGUAGCUUUUGCUGUGGUGGGAUGCUAAAUUGAGCCUCUUCCCAGAAGUAAAAGCUCCUACUUUGAAGUUUCUGCUUCUGCUGCAGGCUGUGGGGAAUCUUGGGAUGGAUAUUAUGAAUAAGUUGUUACUGCUUUUUCUUGCAGUGUUAUGUAAAAGCACUUUUCCUAGUAUUGCUAACCAAAUAUAUGUGUGGCUAACGGUCUUCUGUGCAGGCUGUAAUGGCUGCAAUCGGAGGCGCUAUAGGGUAUGGUUCACCUCUGACUCUUAGUGAUACAUCAAAUAAGAUAAAAAAGGGAACAAAAGGCGAUGCCUCAGUGUUGAGACCCACCCUUAUGACUGCUGUGCCUGCCAUACUCGACCGUGUUCGUGACGGUGUGCGGAAAAAGGUGGUGAUUUUUUCUCUUUUGUCAUUUGGAUAUAGUAGCGUUUUUCUUCAGUGAAGUGUACGGAUUGUUUCUGUGCAAUUUCAGAACUUUUCACUGAAAGUAGUCUAGUCCUUGAUGUUUGCUUCUUUUCACAAUUAUAUCUCUCUAACCCCAUCUUGCGGUCCAAAAUCUGUGAUUCUGUUAUGUCAAAAUGCGCUGCAUGUCACCUUUCUUCUUAUGAAAUGACCAUUUUAACCUAUUUCAAUGUAAAAUAACUUUCUUUUUCAGUCUAUAGAGAAUGAAGUUAACAUGGUAAAUCUACAAUGCAUAAAAAGGGUCAUGUGCGGAGCACGUGCUAACAUAUGUUGCAUGGUGAACAGGGUUGCAAAACUGAAACUUUUGAGUCAUCGUUGGGCAAUUGCUGUCUGAAAAAUAGUGUAAGAAGGGACAACGGAUUGCUUGCAAUCCUGACAUCUAAGCUGUUUGUUCGGCAACGAAAAGCCAGUAGACAAGAAUAAAAAUAAAAAACGGCAAUGAUGUCAAAUGAGGCCUAAAUUACUGACUUACUUUAAGUGAAAACUUCGAAGAUUACACUACAAUAGCAUGGAAAAUACGAGGACUGCCAUACAUUUUACCUUUUAAAUUCUUUUUUUACUCCUAUAUAUUGACUGCUAUUAAUUUUCUUCACACUAUUUUAGGUAGAUGAAAAGGGUGGCAUUGCAAAGAAACUAUUCGAUAUCGCUUAUAGUCGUCGUUUAGCGGCUAUUAAUGGAAGCUGGUUUGGUGCAUGCGGGCCAGAGAAGCUAUUGUGGGAUGUUCUCGUCUUCAAAAAGGUUUGUGCUAUUUAUUUUUUAUUUUUUCUUUUUUAUCUUUAUUGUAGUGCAAUAUUUAUUUUAUCUUAUUUUAGUUUAUUUUGCGACUAAAGGUUCGUGCGAUAUUGGGGGGUCGCAUUCGUUUUGUACUCUCUGGAGGAGCUCCUCUCUCUGGAGAUACACAAAGAUUCAUCAACAUAUGCCUUGGGUUAGUAAAUGAUUCCUUUUGAAAAAAAAUUUUAUUCUAUUUUAUUUUAUUUUAUUUUAUUUGGCGAAACAGUUCAAAGUUUAAAAGAAAAACAACACAAUGUCCUACGCAUCACAGAAUCAUUACCGAAAUUGAUCUCCAGGAAUAUAAGUUACUAUUUCAUUAGGAAAAUUUAGUAUUACAUAUCAUGAAGUUGAAAUGUUCUUAAUUAAUAAUUAGUUCAUCUGCAUAAGCAUAUUACCUACAAAAUUGCUCCGUUUUAAAGCGCUCACCUAAUACAACACCAACUCCCUCGUGUGUUGGAUUACUGACAGCAUGUAUUUUUGUUUCACCGAAUAUUCAUGCUGUCGAAUAGGGUAGCAAAUUGGAAUUUAUUAAAAACCACGGGGUAAUACCAGUGGCGGAUCUAGAAAUCUUCUCUCAUGAGGUCAAUACAUAAGGGAGAAAAAAUAUACAAUUUUUUUUAAAAAAAGUAAAUUAGUCAUUAGGCUAGGGCUACUAUGCUCUUAUGAGUAUAGAGCACUUCGUACUCAUAAGUUGUUUUCGAUGAUGGAGCUUCCGAAUCGGCGAUUCACUCUGUUAAAUAUGAUCUAGAGUAUUUGAAACUUUUAGAAAAUAAAUUUCGUAAUUUUUCGAAGUCAUAAUAAAGUUCAUCAAGCGGGUAUAAAAUGAACGGCAAAAUCGAAAGACGCCUUAAAAAUGGAUGAUCGGAUCCUCCAAUUUAAGAUCGGAAUUAUUGAUCUUUAUCUAUGUAGUGAAUGGAAUUUUCUAUCAAAAGUUCAACUGAUUUCGAUUCUUUUACACCGUUAAACUAUCAAAUAUCCCAUACCGGCCGUUAAAAUUUGUCACUUUUGUGACCUUUUGAUCGUAAGGUAAUGAUGUCGAAAAAUUAUAAAAUUUGAUUUCUAGACAUUUUAAAUGCUCUAGAUAACAUUUAACAGUGUGGAUCGUCGAUUCGGAAGCUCUAUCAUCGAAAACAACUUAUGAGUACGAGGGCGAUCGUACUCACAAGAGUAUAGUAGCCAGACUCUUAGUCAUUAAUAUUGUAUAAAAAAAUAUUAUUUUGUUUUAGAAUUGUUCUUUACGUGUUUUCAUAUUCUGAAAAUGGUGCAUGAUAGCCUCAUUAGAAACACUGUCAAAUACGCAAUAAUCGUUCAUCAAUUGAUUCAAUAUGAUUAGAAGAGAUAAAAAGGAGGAAGAUUAUGUAGGAUAAAGAAGACUAGGGUUUUUUAUAUUACAAUCUUUUUUAACUUUUUGCUACUGCAAAGGAAAAAAAAAAAGAAAAAGGUGUUAGUGGGUUAUCCGACCCGCUAUAGCUCUUUUAUCUAAAACAAAAAUUUUGUUGGACCCCACUUGGGGUCAACUUGGACCCCAUAGUGGGAUCAACUUAUGCAAAAAGGGGCAACUAAAAGGCCAAAAAAUGCAAGUGGGACCCACUAAAUGGGUUUUUUGCAACCAUCCCCCAUUGAGAAACAUAUGCAUCCGCCACUGGGUAAUACCCUGUUUAACGAUAAGUCCAUAUAGUGAAACAGACAGAAUUAUUUAGUGUGACUUUUUAAACCAUAGUAUGGCAGAGUGAUAAUGCGCUAAACCACAAGAUACAUGCAACAUUUUUAACCAUAGGGUGGCAAAAUGAAGAUGCGCUAAACCACAGGGGCGCAAAUUGAAAUUUACCCUAUUUUAUAAUAUAUAAUUUUGAGGGUCACAGAAAAAACUUCAAUUUCACGGCCAUUAUAAUUUGAUUGUGGUUUUUUCAGGGAUAAAUACUAGAAUCCCCUUGCAUAUGUGUGUGUGAAACCCUUGGAUCAAUACAAAGCUUUUAAUUUUAACCUACUUGUAUGUCCAGGGCUCCAAUAGGGCAAGGAUAUGGUCUAACGGAAACUUGCGCUGGAGGGACAUUUUCGGAAUUCGACGACACAUCAGUUGGCCGUGUUGGCGCUCCACUUCCUUGUUCAUACAUCAAGGUACGAAAGAAAAUAUUUCGCUAGUUUCUUUGACAUCGACGAUAUAUUACGAUCAAAACGGAAGUAAACGGAGUCAUUCACUUCCACGUCAAUUAUGGAGAUAGGACAUCUCAAUUAAUGAUCGGCUCCAUUAAACAUGAUUUAGGCUAUUCAAACUUUAUAGAAACCGAAUUUCACAAUCUUACGAUAUGAUUUCUCUAGUAAUCGAACGGUGUCGAAAUCAUCUUAUACUAGCCAUUAAAAAUUGUAAAUUUUUGAACGACUUGAAAAUUGGGCAAAUAAUAUCGAAAAACUAUAAAAUUUGGAAUUUAGAAAGUUGAAAUAUCGCAGAUCCUGUUUAAUGGUCUCGAUCGAAACGUAUAAUCAUGCCCGUGGGCUCCUAGAUUUAUUUUUAGGGAAAACUUCAAAUACCCCCAUUGUGGUUUCACUUUUUUUCACUUUAGUACCCUGUGGUUUAAAGUGUAUCAAGUUAGUACCCUGUGGUUUUGCACUUUCUCACUUUAGUACCCUGUGGUUUAAUAUUUCAUUAAGAGAAAAAUAAAACUAUAGGAUACUAACUUGAUACAAAAAUAAAACCACAGGGUAUUAACUUGAUACAAAAAUAAAACCACAGAGUACUAACUUGAUACACUUUAAACCACAGGGUAUUAAGUGAGAAAAUGCGAAACCACAGGGUACUAACUUGAUACACUUUAAACCACAGGAUACUAAAAUGAAAAAGUACGAAACCACGGGGGGUUUUUUGAAGUUUUCUCUUAUUUUUAUACAUAAUAACCUUUCCCUUUUCCUUUUCCUCAUUUACCAUCUCAAUCAUCAUACGACAUCUAUGGUUAUUAACAUGUUUGAGGUGAUUUUUGCGUAUCAGUUAAUUGACUGGCCAGAGGGUGGAUAUUUAAUAACUGAUUCGCCGAUGCCUCGAGGGGAAAUAGUCAUCGGGGGACCGAAUGUUACUGUGGGCUACUUCAAAAGGGAGGCAAAAACUAAAGAAUCCUACAAGGUAACCUACUAGAUAUAUGCGAGUCGCGUAAUUUUGGGUCUAUUUUUUUGUACAUACAUGCCUCCUACAAGCAUGUAAAAUUGUGCAAAUAAAGAGUUACACACACAAAUCAUAACUAUACUGAAAUUUUUAUGCAAUUUUCCAAAUAUAUGGAGGUACUUCGCAAAUAAUUUUUUUCUUUUUUUUAAGACUAAUCACAAAGCAUUAUGUCUUAUAAAAAAGGUCGAUGAAAGAGGUAUGCGGUGGUUUUACACCGGCGAUAUUGGGCGUUUUCACCCGGACGGUUGCCUCGAGAUCAUCGAUCGUAAAAAGGAUAUCGUAAAACUCCAACACGGUGAAUACGUCUCUCUCGGAAAGGUGUGUAUUUUAAUUGCAUCAUUUCAAAAAUUUUACAAAUAAAUGUUCCAUUUCAUGUAUAAGCCCUUAUCAUAAGUUGGCGAAUCAUGCAUUUCAUGAUGGAAGGAAUUCAUAUAUCUUGUACUUAGUGCUUACGAGUGUGCUUCUUUUAUAAUUUGUUUUGCAAAUUAAAAUCGUAAUCGCAGGUGGAGGCGGUUUUAAUUGGGAGCCCGUACGUCGACAACGUCAUGGUGUACGCAGAUCCGUUCCACAGCUACUGCGUCGCGCUCGUCGUAGCUGCUCGAAGUGAAUUAGAAAACUGGGCUUCGAAGCAAGGAAUCAAAUAUGGCGAUUUCUCCGAUUUAUGUCAAAAACAAGAAGCUGUCGACGAAGUGCUCAGAUCAUUAGUGAAGGUUUGUAUAUCCUACUUAAUUUUUGUUUAGAUGAACAUAAAUGGAAGUGGCUUUUACAUCUAUAUCCCUGCAAAAUUACCUACUUACAAUUUUGAUCACAUAAGCAUGGAAUAUAAGGGUCUUUUGACAUGUAUGCCCUUGCAAAAUUAUCUAUUUACACAUACACCACAUUUUAAAUUUGAAUUUUGUUGUGACCCCUUGAAAGUGUAGUUUCUUACAGAAAAUACCCUUAUCUUAUCUUAAGUCUAAGUACUCAUUGAACUAAUGGUGUAGUUGCUUUUUGUGUGAAUAAGAUCUCUAAAGACGUAUUAUUUCAUUAGGAAGGAUUGUGAGNUUAAAAGCAUAGGAGCUCAAUUAUAUAUAUAUAUAUAUAUAUAUAUAUAGAGAGAGAGAGAGAGAGAGAGAGAGAGAGAGAGAUGAGCUCCUGUGCUUUUAAAAGCACAUGAGCUUAAUGUGCUUGUGAUUUUUUAGCUAUUGAUCGCCUCAAGAUCCAUGUAGCACUAGCAAAGGAGAGUUAACUGAACAUAUCGUUAAUAAUGGUACACGGAUCUUGAGGCGAUCCGAUAGCUCAAAAGUCACAAGCACAAAUGCUCCUGUGCUUUUAAAAGAACGGGAGCUCAACUAUAUAUAUAUAUAUAUAUGAGUAGGACUUGUGUGUCAUUAGGAGAAUGGAGCCCUCCGUGCUCCUAAAUUGUUUUUGAUGAUUAUUCCGAAUCGAUGACCGAUUCUGUUAGACUUGAUCUACCAUAUUUGAAGUAUCUAAAAAAUAAUUUUUGCUAUUUUUCGAUAUCAUUUACCUAACGAUCGAAAGGGUUCAAAAUCAAUAAUUUUUAAUGGUUGAUGUGUGCCGUUCGCAAGUUUAACGAUAUAAAAGUAUUCAAAUUAGAUGGAAUUUUGAUAGAAAAUUUUGUAUACUAUCUACAACAAGAUUAGUAUCUCUGAUCGAAAAUUUUAGUGCUACAUUAUAAUUUUUUGUAAGAUUUUUAUUUUCUACUGUCUAUUUUGAGUCCUUCCGAUUAUUAGAUAAAUGAUAUCGAAAAGCUACGAAAUUUGUUUUCUAAAUAUUUCAAAUACGCUAGAUCAAGUUUAACAAAGUCGAUCGUCGAUUUGGAAGUUUUAUUAUCGAAAAUGGCUUAGGAGCACAGAGUAGCACACGAGUCCUACUCUAUAUAUAUAUAUAUAUAUAUAUAUAUAUAUAUAUAUAGUUUAUAAAUUUUCGGGAGAUAUGUACAAUCAAAAUGAAAUUAUGCCAGUAACAAUAUGGUGUUUAUGUAAAUUCAGGUCGCGAAGCAGGCGAAUUUGGAUAAAUUCGAGAUUCCGUCGAAGAUCAAACUGCUUCAUGAGCCAUGGACGCCGGAAUCCGACCUCGUAACCGCCGCGCUCAAGCUCAAGAGAGAAGUCAUCAGAAAAGUGUUCGCCGACGAUCUCGCAAGCUUGUAUACCUGAUUUCAAGGUUUUUUUUUUUGGGGGGGGCUAAAUUACAGAAAAACUCCUCGUAAAUACCUGUUUUUUCACUUUCCCUCCAUAACUUUCAAAAAAUCUACUAUAUUUCAAGUUGUUGCAUUAGCUUUCCUCUGUUAGAGUUUUACUACUAUUUCGUCCAUUUCUUAUAAUUUAUACCGCAAAUACCCUUCAAAAUGAUAGAAAUAUAUUAAAAAAUUAUUUUUUUUACUUAUAAAAAGAAGGAAGGGCAAUUUGAUCAUUUUGUCCUCUCCAUUAACGCCAUAUCCCUCUGAAAAUGUUUCUGAAAUUAUAAGGGAGUAAAAUGUAGGUUUUUAAAAGUCAGGGAAGGAAAGUGAAAAAGGAGAUAUUUAUUUACUGAGAGGUCUUCUAGAAUUUAGUUUUUUUUUUUUUUGGUUUUCUAGAGUUGAGGAGAACUCUAGGGUUUAUAGAGGAUUGUAGCUAGAUGUAUUUGGUCUGUUUAUUGGCUUUUUCCUAUUUGGGUAAACUUCAAAUACCACUCAUGUGGUUUCGCACUUUCUCACUUUAGUACCAUGUAGUUUAAAAUGUAUCAAGUUAGUGUCCCGUGGCUUCAUUUUUAUUUUUUCGUCAGCUUUUUCGUUAAUAUUUCGUUAAAUUAUAUACAAAAAACUGCAUAGAUACCCCACCUAGGUUUAUCGAAUAUUUACUUUAGUACCCUUUAAUUUUAAGUUUGUCACUAAUUUAACAAAAAAAAUUAGGAAAAACUUCAAAAAACCUCUAUGUGGUUUCGUAGUUUCUCACUUUGCCCCCUUGUGGCUUAAAAUGUAUCAAUUCCCCCCCUGGUUUCUUUUUUCUCUUUUUCUUAUCAAUUAUAUAUAUUUUUUUUCUUAAAUCAGUGAUAAAGUUAAAAUUAAAGGGUACUAAAGUGAAUAUUUGAUAAAUCUAGAUGGGUAUCUGAAGUUUUUUGUAUAUAAUUUAAUGAAAUAUUAACGAAAAAGUUACCGAAAAGAUAAAAACGAAACCACGGGAGGGCAAUUUGAUACAUUUUAAACCACAAGAGGCAAAGUGAGAAACUACGAAACCACGGGGGGUUUUUUGAAGUUUUUCUAAAAAAUUAAUAGAAUCGAUAAUAAAAAGAUACAAAAAAAAUUACAGGGCACUAAAUUAAUAUAUUUUAAACUACAGGGCACUAAAGUGAGAAAGUGUGAAAUCACAAAAACGGUAUUUGAAGUUUUUUUUUUUUUUUCAUGUUUUAUUCAUGUUGUAUUAUAUAUUGCUCACUAGUUUGGAGUUUAAUGUUAACCAGAGAAUUGCUAAAAUCAUCUGAGAAAUGGUUGGAAUGAGCUUUUUGGAAAAGCGCUAAUAACUUUUUUUUCUCCAAAAUUUAAAAGUUUUUCAUAACAAUCUCUUGAUGCCGUAAGAAGUAAAAACUUGGAGAUGAUUCUUCUAUUUUUAAGAUUGAAAAGUUUAUUCCCGCUUAAAAAACAUAGUUAAACAAAAAAAAAAAAAAAAUCAAUUUUUUUUUGUCGACAUUUCACUUCUAUUUCUUAGAUGAAGAAGCAUUUUGUUAUGUUUGUGUUCUCUGAGAGAGAUUUUUUAUACUAUCAUGUGCAGAAACUUUUAUGCACGGUAACAAUCGCGUCGCUCAUCAAUGGCAAAAUUUUAUCAGCACUGUUUAAUUCGGCAUCAUCCAAUCCAAGUUGUUUUUAUCCUCUACUUGUAAUAUCUAAUUUUUUUUAGGUGCUAACUUCAAAUAUCUCCCUUAUGGUUUCGCACUUUCUCACUUUAGUACCAUGUGAUUUAAAGUAUAUCAAUUUAGUACCUUGUGGUUUCAUUUUUCUCUUUUCGUCAGCUUUUCUGUUAACAUUUCGUUAAAUUAUAUAUAAAAAACUUCAGAUACCCAUUUAGAUUCAUCGAAUAUACACUUUAGUGCUUUUUAAUUUUAACUUUGUCACUGAUUUAACGAAAGAAAAAUUAGCGGAAGGAAUAAAAAAAAGAGAAAAAUGAGACCACGGGGUAGUAAAUUGAUAAAUUUUAAAUCACAGGGCACCAAAGUGAGAAAGUGUGAAACCAACUGGGUGAUAUUUGAAAUUUUUCCAAUUUUUAAACUAAAAAUUUAAAGAAUUUUUGUAAACCCUAAAAAUUUUCAAUGUAAGAUUUAUACCCAGCAAAAUGUGCACAAGUAGCAUUUUUCUUUGUUGUAAUUAUUAUGGAAGGAUAUAGUAAAACAUGUACACCUAUGAAUUUAGAUACAAAAUGUGAAAAAUAAAAAAAAGUGGUGUUUUUUUAAAUUGGCUUUUAAAAGCCCCUUUAAAAAUAUAGGUUUUGGGAUGAUUUAAUUUAGAAUGUUUUUUUCUUGGUAAAAAAAUCAAAAUAAAAAACCUUAAAAAAAUGUGUAGAAAUUAAAUUGCAAAAAAGACCCCAACCUUUUUCCUGUUUGCAAAUGGGCAUCUCAGCUUUUACUUUUAGCGAUUAGAUUUUUUUUUUUUUGAAAACUUUUAUUGAAUAGUAAAACAUUAUUAUCAAAUAGGAUAAUAAAUUAAUUUUUCUUAAAAAAUUAUAGAAUAAUAAUAUCCUAUUCAACAAUAGAUUUUUAUAGUGAAAUAAAAAUAAUGCUAAUUGUGACUUUUUGAAUCACGAGGUGGUACGUAAAAAUAUACUAUACUACAGGGUAGUUAAGUGCAAUUUCUGAAAUUACAGGAUAGUAAAGUAACAAUACUCUAUACCACAGGGGGCACAUUAAUUUUUACCCAAUUAAAUACGUACCUCAUGAUUGGACGGUUGAGAUGCGAAGCCGCAAAUUGAGAAUUUGCGGUGGGGAUCGCCUGAUACGAUGAUUCUAGAAAAUGGUGGGCCCCACACUCGAUCCAGUGAAUCUGGGACGUCCAUCUCCAAAUGGACCGCUAGGGUUAGGUCCGUUAGGAACGUUACAGAUCUUUAUCAAAGAAAAAUGCAUGCCUAGUCCCUGUGCUAUCCGGAUAUUACAAUACCGUCCCUGUGCUUUCUAAUUAAGUCCUGUUACAUAUUGUUACUUUCUUUUUGGGGUUUAUCUAAAAAUAAGUUUGGGUAAUUUGCAUAAAAAAUCCACUGGUUUUGCGUUUUUGUAAAAAUAAAUCACUUUUUAAAUUUUUUACGGAUUAAAUUUAGAUUUUUUAGUAAACAGACCGAAACAACCUUAUUACUAUUUACUAUUUCUAUCUCCUUUCUCUCCUAUUUGUUUUUCUCCUUUCUUUUUGUCCUUUUUUUUACGUUAUUUUCUUUUUUUCUCCUUUUUUUUUUUUUCCUCCUCCUCCACAUCCGGUCGAUGAUGCACUCAUCUCUCCUAUCUCGCACGUCUAGGGAUGCAAACAGGACUAAUCCAAGGGCGGGAGGGUUUCCCCACCUCCCGCUCCAUUUCUUGUCGGAGCGGGACGGAUUCGGGAUGGGUUAUUUUUCAUUUUACUUUUGGCUCUCACUUACCGCCCUAUUUAAGGCGGAUCGGGGUAGAGGCGUAUUUUUGGCGGAUUUUUGACGAAUCGAGACGGAUUGAAGGAAGAAAAGGAUCUCCUGCUUCUAGCUUCAUUUACUUUGCGGAUUCGGGGCGGGUUAUAUAUUUUUAUAUUUUUUUGGGAAAACUUCAAAAAUCCCCCCUGUGGUUUCGUAGUUUCUCACUUUGCCCCCCUGUUAUUUAAAAUAUAUCAAUUUGUCCCCCUGUGGUUUUAUUUUUCUCUUUUCUUAUCAAUUUCAUUAUUUUUUUUCCUUAAAUCAGUAAUAAAGUUAAAAUUAAAGGGUAUGAAAGUGAAUAUUUGAUAUGAUAAAUCUAGAUGGGUAUCUGAAGUUUUUUGUAUAUAAUUUAACGAAAUAUUAACGAAAAAGCUACCGAAAAGAUAAAAACGAAACCACAGGGGGGCAAAGUGAGAAACUACGAAACCACAUGGGGUUUUUUUGAAGUUUUUCCUAUUUUUUUAUUCCUACUUACUCCCCCAUUCAGGGCGGAUUGGGGCAGAAGCUCCACCAACCUGAAUCCAUUUGCAUCCCUAUGCACAUCUUUGCUGAAACUGAUAGCAGCGCGGUAUCUGAUAUGGCACAGAUCAUCGUUUUCUCUCCCUCCUUCUUCUUUACUGCCCCCACAUCGACGUCACACUCCUCUCUCCUAUCUCGCCCACACCUUCGUCAACGACGGGAAGACACUUUCAUCAACGCAGGUGGCAGCGACGCAGGCUCAAAUAUGAUAAAAAUUGCAGAGGUGAGGCUAUAGCGAAAGGUAUGGCAGCAAAUGACGAUGACAACGCAGGUGCCGUAGGAUUUGAAAAUAACAGAAAAGAGAGCCCGUCGGGAUCGAGAUAGCUGCUAUAGCAAAGUGCUAAGGAGGGAGCGUAGUAGGAAAAAAAAAUACAGAGAGUGGAAGAAGGCCACCAUGCGCCACGACCGCUACAGAGAAUGCCAAAAAGUAGAAAAAAAGAGAAAAAUUGCAUUGUUUGAGACUAAAUUGCGCUGUAUGGUAUUUAACUACUUUAUCAGAGUAUAUAUAAUUUUUUCAAAUAUAAGUUGACUCUUUUUUUAUACUUUAUAAGUCGAUUCUGCUAAUCAAAAAUUCUUUUACUCGAUAACUUCAUAUAAAAUCUGAGGAUACACACAUGAUUCAUAAAUUUAAGCUUAUAUAGGAGCUCAAAUUUCAAGCGUUUUAAUAUAAUUUUUUUUAUAAUUCAUUAACUUAGGGACUAAAAUGUAAUUUAAAUACUAUAAAUGUAAAUGAAAAAAAUAAAGUGUUUCCAUGAAAACUACAUGUAUCAAGACGUAAUAUCGGGAUAAUACAGGGACCGGCCCUACAAUUUUACCCUCGUUUUCUCUUCCCCCUCCUCUCUCUCUCUCUCUCUCUCUCUCUCUCUAACCCUCCCAUUUUGGAUUUUAAUGGCUUCAGGUAAUUUUUUUUUCCUUUUUUUUGGUUAAAUUUUCCUGUUAGGCUUUUGCUAGAACCAAAAAUUCUACUAAAAUUGGAUUUAUCUUAUCGUUUUUUUUUUUUUUGGGUUUUUGGGCGCAUCGACUUCUCAGGAAAACAAGGAAGAGUUAUUUUUUUCUUUUUUUGGUGAUUUUUGGUUUUAGGAAGCUGUGAAUCGAAAUGGAUUUUUAUGUGAUGGGGUCGAACAAGCACUAAAUUUGAGAAAAAUUGGAUUUGGGUUCUCAUAAAAAUUGUAUUCUUUCGCAUGAAACUUCUAUGAUUAGGUCAAGCAAGCCCCAAAAUUUGAUAAAAUUUUGGCCGAAUUGUUUAAAUUUUUCAGUUUGUGGAUUGGGGAUAUCAUAGAAGUUGAAUCUUUUGCGUGAAGCUUCUGUGAUUAUGUCAAAUAAGCCCUAAAUUUGAGAAGUUUUUUGCUAAAUUGUUCAAUUUUUGAGUUGUUGGAUGUAGACUCUCAUAAAAAUUGAAUCUUUCUCAUGAAACAGAUAAUUCUCAGUUAGUAGUUGGUUUAGUUCCCAUCAUGUUGGAGUUAGAACACAUGGGAUUUGAAUAUGAAAUUAAUAAUUUCCCUUUUUUUCCAUUUUCUAAUUUUCCCUGUUGUAAAAAUUUUAGCAUAUGGUAUCUCUUAGAACUCCUUUUCAUAACAUAAAGCUCCUUGUAUAUUCUUAAUUUUAUGCUUAUGAUGAUGUUUUUUUUUUCUUCUUUUUUUUUUUGGGUUAUAGAUAUCUCAGUAGCAGUUCCUUCAGAAUGUAGCCCAUUUUCUCGGUCCCAAACCGCAAAAACACUUGCAACAGAGAGACCCUGGUUGAGUAAGUUUUCAAUUUUUCUUAUUUUGUUUUUUGUUUUUUGUUUGAAUUAGUUCCAGCUAAGUUUUACAGUAAUUACAAGGUAGUACUUGACACUUGCUAUGCUAUCUAUUUUAUUUUCCCUUUACUUUUUUUGUCGCCUUCGUAGUAGUAGGAUAUACUUGGCCCCUUUACACCGGAAUAACUGAUUACAAAAGUAAAUUUUGUGUUUAAUUUGAUAUCGUAGGAAUGAAAAUAAUGAUUGGGAGGAUAAAUGUAACAUCACGAGGAAUAAGAGAAUUCCAUGGAUUUUUAGAAUUCUAGUUCCCGUGUUAUACUAGAAUAACCCGGUUUGACCAGAACAGCCGUCCAUUUGUUGCAUUUGGCGCCAAAAGUUGCCUAACUUUUCUCACUAGAGGCUUUCGUCCGUCGGUUUACUUAAGUUUAAGAUGUCAAGGUCUUGGUUGUGUAAAUGCUAAGAUAUGCCUGUUUAUCCGUCUCUAAUCCUUUGCUUCGCCUCUCAGAUCUUUAUGGUGUUAGGGUUCGGCCUGUAGCUCCUUUCGAAAGUCUCAGCGGCAAGCGCUUUGUUGAUCCGGCCCUUAUUCAUCGUUGUUUGCCAGAUGAGUUGCUCUUUGAGGUAUUAUUCGAUUGCUUUGAUACGCAAUUACUUCAUAUAGGCAACAUUACAGCAUAUGAGUUCUUGAAUUGCUACCGUAUUUUUCAUGUGUAUGUAUUGGAAUGUCAUAAGUUAUUACUGUGAUUGGAAACAUUACUUCAUUGGUUUACAUAUUUAAUUUUGACUAUGUCACCUGCGUAGUUCUCAUUUAUUGUAUUAGACGGCGUAUUGGUCGGAACCAAAUAUAUGAUCUUCUUCCUUGACCGGUAACUCCCAUCACCUGUAUGGACCUAUCUUUACAAUUUUCCAACAUACUCAACGAAAUAUCUAAAAGUAGAGAUAAUCUAGUUUUGAAAUGUAUAGAUUUUUAUUUUUCAUUUUAGUUGCACAAAUGACUAUCGUGUAAAUGUGGCUUGUGCUACCACCUUGGUUUUGGACACGUCUCAUGAUGCGUAACAUAUUAACCCUGUGCUUUGCAUAAUCUAGAAUGUGUCGGUAUCUAAUAAGGUUAAUUUGCAUAUGCAUAUUAUUACAAUAUUUAUGACGUAAUAAAGCUAUGUACGCAUCAUAUGUUUACGUGCCUAUCUGAUGUACCUAUGUGAAUGUUGUAAUUGUGGAAUUCUGCAUCGGUUUCAUUAAUACUGGUUCUUUCCUUUCAUGUCUUUGUAUUGACAUGUGUCACUGAUUGCAUUAAGGCAUGUGUGAAAAAGGAAAUAAUUGGAGAUGUCAUCUCCUGAAAAUAUCAACGAAAUCGUAACAUUUCCUUGGACCGUCAUUUCACACAUUUAAUUUAUUUGCUAUAAGAUUCAUAUAUUUACUUGGCCUGAUAGGCCUAUUCACAACAAUGCCACAAAUAUAUGUCUAUAUGAUAGGAAAUAUUGUGUAAAUUGCUUAUAAUUGUAGGAUGAUCAUCUUAAUAGGAAGAAAUAAUAUGGUACUGAUCUGUUACUGAUGUACUCGAGACUAGCGUAAAAAGAAAUUGUCUUUUGUGCUCAUUAUGUCGCCGUAUUUUUCGAUUACUAUUUAUGGGAGUUAUUUAAGCAGGUUUUUACAAGGAUGUGCCCAUACACUCUAGGAAGGGCCGCAUGUGUCUGUAGGAAGUGGAGAUACACUAUUCGAAAUCCUAGUCUAUGGCGAAGUGCUUGCCUAAAAACUUGGCAGGUGAACAUAUUACUUUAACUAACAGCUUAUAGACUUUACUCGGAGCUUUUUACUACAAUAUGCUUAAUCUUGAAGGUAUUUUAUGCAGAUGUCAGGAGCAGAGGCUAAUUACAAAAUUGUUCGGUCCGUGUACGACGGUUCUUGGAGAAAAAUGUGGGUUCAGAGGCCGCGACUUCGAACUGAUGGUAAUAAUACUUUAAAAAGAGCUACCUGUGCAUAGGUUCCCUGUAACUUACUUUUCUUUAAUAUUUUUUUUCCUCAUCUGUUCUUUCAUAUUAAGAACUAAGAACUAGUAUUCAACUCUUUCUAAAACCCUCUAUGGUAAUUUGGUAUAAUCCAACAGCAGUUUUGCACUUUGCCACGCUGUGGUUCAAAUGUGAAUUUUACUCGCCUGUCGUUCUCGUUUGGGUUUCUGAAGAGCCUAAUGUUAAAAUGCCUUUGAAAGUGCGCACAUGACAGCCACAUGGCUCAUUAAAUUACUGUGAAUCUUCAUAAGCCUUUUUGUUGUAUCAUCCAAUUCCACUUUACUACCCAGUAGUUCAAAAGUGUAGCGCUUUGCUACCCUUUUCAAAAGCUCAAAGUGGUACACUUUGAACACGAGAUGGAAGUUUUCCCUAUAAUAAUAUUUUUUUGUAUGAACUCUUGACCUUAAGCCUUUCUCGAUUGUUAGGUCUCUAUGUCAGUCGGAACACUUAUAUUCACACCGGGGUUGCAGAAUGGAAGGUUACGAAUCCUGUCCAUGUGGUAUGAUUUGCCUUUUAUGUAGUUUUUUGGUGAUAACAGUGUAAUGCUCAUUUACAACGUACUGAUAAUGGUUGCUGUAUUGAUGUAAUAUGUCUUCACGAUACAUGAAACAAAAGCUCAAUUUGGUCACUUUUCUUUCAUAAGUUGUUGAUAGUUAUAUUUAUAGCCUUGUUGACUUGGUUUGAGCUUCUGCAGAAGCGCUAUUUCAGUUCAUUUGUUUGAAAAGUAGAAACUUCAAAUUAGAACUUAUGCUUUUGGAGCUUAAAAAGCUUAUUUCAAUUUCGAGCCACAGCAAAAUCUCCAAACUACUAAUUUGCAUACGCUUUUUUUCUGCUUCUCAAAGUAGAAAAGCUGUUUCAGAAGCCGGGCCAAAUUAGCGCGUAAUAUCUGGUAAAUGGAAUAUUUAAGUGGAAAGCAAAGAUAUUGGUCGUUAAGGAAAAGGAUUAACAUGUUUUUUUAAAAAUGAAAACAUACUAAUCAAAAUAAUAGGGGCUUAUGACCGGUUCUUGAGCUUUGCAGGUUUGUUACUAUCGAUACCUGCGAUUUUACUCGAGUGGCAAGUUCCUCUACAAGGUUCGUUUCGUUUGAAGCCAUCGGUGAAAUUCAUUUAAGUUGUUUCCUUGUUGAGAAUAAUUCUCAUGUUUCUGUUUUUUUGCUGUCGUGGAAAAAUCAGAUCUCUUCUCAGAGAGUUAAAGAGGUGGUGAAAUGCAUGAAUUUCCGCGCAUCUAAAGCCGACUGUGUUUUCAAAGGCGACUCUAUAUUAUCUGGGGACCAGGUAAUAUAUGAUCUUUGAUCUCCAUGCUUUAUUAAAUCAAAAUGACAUCAAAUUCUUUGUGGUGACUUAAAAUUCGCGCUCUUUGGUCGUAUUAUGCAUAUUUCUUCUGCUUGUUUGUUAGGUCGAAGCUGCUCUUUUGUACCCAGGCCUGCGUCUCACUCUCCUUAGGAUGCGCCUUAGGUACAUGAUGUUUGUUUAUUUUCUAUGAUAAAAUGCAGAAAAGCCCCGAAAGCUACAUUGUUCCCGCUUUGCCCUUCCGAGAUGUAAAAACCUACUUUUAACUUUUUCUAUCGAUUUUAACCCUUACUACUUUUAACCCUGAAUGGAAAACGUGAGACGGCAUUAAAUUGAGGGGGUCGAUGUAAGAUUUUCAUAUUUCAGGAGGGUAAACUGCAAAUGGCGCCAAUACUUUAGUUUUUCAUAUGUUCUGAAUCACUAUUUUAUGUAUGCUUCUGUUCAAAACCAUACAUGUUUAAUAAGGAUAUGGACAAGAUUUGAAUAUUCAUUAUGGUGUUAGCGAAAUGUAUCGAAGAACAUGUUUAUCGGUAAAUGUAAGAAUUUGGAUAAAUGGAUCCUAGAUAUAGGAAAAGUGUGUUACUCAUUCCAAUGUUGAUUUUAGCAUAUCUGAAUAUUUCUACUAAAACUCGAAACUUAGGUUAGUUAUAAGUAUUUGGUUGAUUUUCUUUGCUAAUAAUAUAAUAUAAUGAAGUUAGGGUUUUCGAGGAAUACUACAAGAACCAUCUCGAUCUUUAAGAGAUGUGCGAGUUUAGAUCAUUUUUGAUGAAAUUUUCGGCUUGUGAGAUAUGCGAACAUGGAUAUUUGGUAGGCUUAGAGGGACGACAAUAGGAGCAAACAAUCGACUGGAUGUCGUGAAGCUCGUCACAACCGGAGUCAACGAAGAUGAUUUAAAGAACAGAGAGGACGACGUGCUGAGAAUUGUCGAAGGUUGGGAGGAGGACGAGACGCACGACCCCGACGUGCCGGCUAUCUCGCACCGCAGGGGUUUAACUCCCUUUGUUUUCGUCCCGUUCGAAGAGGUAAAACCUCCUCUUUUUUUUUAAGCCCUUUCUAUUUAGUAGUUUUACGUUUUAUAACAUGCCAAGCUUAUUCGAACUUCAAAAACAAUUUUAUCUUCGCUUAAAAUAGUAGCGUAGAAAUGUGUCAUAAAGUUGCGAAAGAGUGUAUUGUGGGGAAUUGGGAAUUUGAGAAGGUUAAAUUGCGGGAAACCCCUACAAACAUGUGAUUUUCAUUUUCGUCUCUGCUAGUAGUUUUCAGGCAAUCUCUAUUACUCGCCGUAUAAAUUGAAGAUGUAAAAUAGUAGGUUUUUAACAUUUGAGGGGGCAAUGCCGGCAUUGCAAUAUUUGCAAGGGAGUUUCCAGCAAUUUUCUGAUUCGAACUUUCAGAAUUAUUGCAGUCGAGUUUCACAAUCCAAUUUAGUUGACUAAAUAUUGACGCAUCGCUGAUGUAGAAGUAAUGUAGUAUUUUAAUUAUUGACGCAUCGUCAAUCACAAUACUGCUGCAUUACUUCCACAUUAGCAAUAUAUCAAUAUUUAGUCAACUAAAUUAGAUUAUAGGAUUUGAUAAUAACAACUCUAAAAGUUCGAGCUAGAAAUUACAACAAAUUAAAGUUUGAGGACCAAGGUGUUACCAGUCUCAUAGUUUGAGAACCGAAUGUUAAGCAUUUUAUGCUUAUUUUAGCUCCUCUCUUACCGCAGACCGAAACAUCAGUGUUGAAUCUUCCGGUCGACAAGAUGGAUUACUUCGUACCUGGAUGAUAAUGUCCUCGAUUUCGUAUCAUGUGUAUAUGUACAUAUAAACAUAUGCAUAUCCUGUUACUCUUAUUUGUAUUCGUCGCGUUCGCGCUUUUAGCUUUCUCCUUAAGGAUUGUGCAAGCUUGGAAUUGUUGUUGUUCUAGAUAUGCAAAACUGCAUUUUGUCUGUGCUUAGAAGAAAUGAUGUUGUUGCCUUUUGCAAUCUCUAGUGUGUAUGUGUGUGUGGUUGUGUGUUUUUUUUUAAUCUUUUUCAUGUUUUUAGUUUCUUUGGAGCAUAAACAUGCCAAACAGUGUGGAUCUUUUGGUUUCCUGUAAAUGGAUAAAUAAAAUUUUUGUCGUGCGUUUUUAGUUUGGCAUAACUUUUUUCUUUAUAGUUCUUCUUAUGUAUUUUUAGAAGCACGGUGGCAUCUGUACUAUCAAGUUAUUUUCGAUACUAGAACCGAUACUAGAACCUUCGAACCAACGAUUGGUUCACUUAGAUUUGAUCUAAAAUAUUAAAAGUAUUUAGAAAAUAAAUUUUUUAAUUUUUUAAUAAUAUUUAUUUAUUUAGUGAUCGAAAGGAUUAAAAAUUAACGGUUGAAAAUAAAAAUAUCAUUAAAGGUGAUAAUAUGAAAUUUGAAGUAGAUCAUAGAUAUUGAUCUUGUUCUAUAUAAGUAUAAAGAAAUUUUUAUUAAAAUUUUAUAUAAUUUUUAUAUUUCUACACCGUUAAGCUUGUAUAUGGCUCACAACGAUUAUUAAAUUGUUGAUUUUGGGCCAUUUUUAUUUUUAGGUAAAAUGAUAUAGAAAAAUUAUAAAAUUUAUUUUUUAGAUACUCUAAGUAUUGUAAAUUAGAUCUUAUAGAGCUAAUCGUCAUUUCAAAAGUCUCAGUAUCGAAACAUCUUGAUAGCACGGUGACCAACAUGCUUCUAAAAGCACACAAAUCUCUUUCUCUCUUUCUCUCUCUCUCUCUCUACAUUAAGAGUAGUACUUGCAUGCUAUGAUAAGUACAGAAAACUUCGUGCUCUUAAGCCAUUUUUGAUAAUGAAACUUUCAAAUCGACAAUCGAUUCUAUUAAACUUGAUCUAGAGAAUUUUAAAUAUCUAAAAAAUAAAUUUUGUAAUUUUUCGACAUUAUUUACCCUGUGAUCGAAAUAACUCAAUAUCAACAGUUAAAAAUAAAAAUCUAAAAAAAAAAAUCAUGAUAUAGUACUAAAAUUUUUUAUCAGAGUAUUAAUUUUACUGUAGAUAGUAUAAAAAUUUCUCUAUCAAAAUUUUAUCUGAUUUGAAUACUUCUACACUAUUAAAAAGGUCUUUCCCGUAAUCUUGAGUAAGCUUAUUUGUGUAUUUUUGAUUAGAUGGUUUCUGUGGUUGUGGUUGCUUGCUUAUUGUGAAAUAAACUCUACUGUAGAAUUGUUAUGCCUUGCUAAAAUAAAAGAAAAAUACUUCUUAUACACCCUAAAAAGGGGUGUACAUCUUACACCAGUAAUCAUAGGGUUGAUAAAAAUCAAAUUGAUUUUUAGUAAAACCUAAAAAAAAAAAAUUGAUGUAUUAAAAAUGAUCUUAAAAUAGAAUGGAUGUAAUAUAUACACUCCACUUUAAGAUGUAUAUGUAGCAUUCCUCAAAAUAAAAUAAAAAAAAAUAAAAGCAGCUUAACUCCCAAAAUUUUUUUUGUUAACAAAAAAGGCCUUUGUUGCACCAUGCUUAAUUUUUUGAGUAUUCCUUUUAUAUUGGACAGUUUUGAGCUUUGGCCUUAUUAUACUUGGCUACCAAAUCUUUACAAAAUAUAUAUUACGUAAAUUUUCCCUUUUUUAAAUUUGUCACUGGACCCUAAAUUUGGUAGUUUUUAUUAAUGAUUGUUAGUUAUAUUAUGGACAAAUAUUUUAAUAGUCCAAUUAUUUUUUUUUAAGAAAAUAAACACUUGAAUAGUCUUGAAAUCAUCAAAGAGAAAUUGUUAUUCAGGUUACUAUUUGGUUCGGCAUAAUAAUAUAAUGUUAGAUUGUUGAGCGUGUAAAACUAUUUUAUUUAGCUCAUCUUAUAUGUUUGGCCAGAUUGCAUAAAAAAUCUACAAGUUUUGAACUUUUGCAAAAUUAGACCGUUUUUUUCAAUUUUGCAAAUUUAAGCUGAAUUUUCAGAAACUAACCAAAAUACCCUAAUUUCUUUCUCUUCUCUUUUUUUUUUUUCCCUUGUUCCUUUUUUUUUCUCUCUCCAAAGAGAGAGGCAGAGGCAACCCGCAUCACCUUUGCCCCCCGCGCCCUCACCCUGCGCCUGCGCACCACCCACCUUCCUUGCCUCCAACCCCACCAAGGCUGCACUCGUUGCCGCUCUUUGGGACGCCCCUCCUCACCUUCGCCCCAUGCGCCCUCUGCUGCGCCCACUCACCCCCCGCUCUCCUCGUCUCCGAUCCCGCGGAGGUUACGCUGCAAUCCUCCUUUUUUUUUUUUUUCUUUCCAAACCUCCUCUACCGCCUUCGCAGCCAUUUGCAACUCAUCUCUACCUUCACUUCCACUAUAGCAUAUAAGAGUGUGAUUUUAUUUUAACAAUACAACUUCAUCUUCAUCUUCAUCUUCCUUCUUCUCUAAUCCUUCUUCCUUAUUCUAUAAUUUUUUAUUUUUAGUUUUAAUUUUUUAUUUUAAGCAAAUAAAAAUGUUUAACCAGAGAUGCUCCCGUGCACCCUCCGCCUUGUUCGCCUUCGACCCCACCGAGGUCGCGUUCGCUGCUACCCUCUGGGACGCCGCGCUCGCACCGUCCCGCCCUCUUUUCCGGCAUCAUCACGCUUUCCUCCGUCUCCACCUCAUUUGCCGGCCCCGGUUGGGCACGGAAGGUCGUGUGUCCCUUCUCUCGCCAGUGAGCUUCUUAGUGCCAAGAAGCGCUUACUUUUCGUCGUCGUUGGCGGUGGUGAGGUUCCCAAAAGUGAAUUUGGUGGAUGAAAAAUCUGCUGCAAUGGAAGUGAAGAUGGAGAUGGGUCGCAAAGGGCCACGGAGGCAAUGGAGGAGGUUUGGAAAGAAGAAAAAGAGGAUCGCGGCGUAGCCUUGGCGAAGUCGAAGACGAGGAGAAGCGGGGGUGAGUGGAGGCAGUUGAGAGCACAUGGGAUGGAGGUAAGGAGGGGCAUUCCAAAGAGCGGCAACAAGCGCAGCCUUAGUGAGGUUGGAGGCGAGAAGGGCGGGUGGUGCAGGGACGCAAGCGAAGGUGCAGGCGCAAGGUGGUGCAGGGACGCGAGCGAGGGCGCAGGGAGCAGAGGUGAGGUGGGCCGCCUUGGCCUCCGCCUCUCUCUUCGGAGAGGAGGAAAAAAAAAACAAGAUGAGAGAGAGAGAGAGAGAGAGAGAGAGAGAGAGAGAGGAAGAAAAAUAUUUUGGUCAAUUUUUUAAAAAUUCGAUUCGAAUCUACAAAAUAAAAAAUGGCAGCCCAGUUUUACAAAAGUUCAAAACUUUUGAAUUUUUUAUGCAAAUUAGCCUAUAUAUUUCAAUAAUAACUCUGAUAGUAAAGUCAAUAUUAUUUCUAAAAUAAAAUAAAAUACUACGCUAAAAAAUGAUAACUUUUACGUCCUUUACUUCCUGCUAACUAAAGAACAGAACCGAAAAACACUUUCAGUUCCACAACUAUAAAAAAACAAAAACAAAAAGAAAUAAUUUUCACUUAAAAACUCUAAUUCAUUACAAGCAACUCAAGCACCAACAAGACCUAAAGCGUAAUGAGCACAAUUAUAACAAAUCAAAACUUCUCUCUCAAUAAGAAAAAUAAAAUAAAACAAGUUCCAUGCAAAAAGCACUAUUCUAUGACAAGAUAAAUUAAAAAUAAGGUCUUUCAUUUGCCUAGCAAAAGGAAUUUACUUAUUCAUCACAACCAGGACUGUUUAAAUAUUUGAAACCAUUCUCAGCACAGCCAAAAAUAGUUGCAGCUAAUUGUUUGCACAACAACAACUAACACCAAAAUUACGAAAGAAUCAAUAAUACUCCAUGAGGUUUAACAAUCCCCACCAAGAUAAGAAGUAUUUGAAUUAUACAAACUUACUCUCUGAGUUCCAUCUUCUUCACAAUAUAAAAGAAGCCCGCGAAGGUACCUGAAGACCCGCCGGGGAGCGUGUUUUUCUUACUCGGCCCGAGAUUGCCCGGCGCGUGAUGAGAGGAUGAUGCCGACGAUGAGGCCGUAUAGGGCGAGCGCUUCCGCGAAGAUGAGGAUGAGGAUCAUGCCCACAAACAACUUCGGCUGCUGCGCGUUCGCCCUGUGGGUGGAAGGAAAUGUUAAACCGGAACCAAAUCUCUGUUUUUUGGAAAGCAAGAGAAACAAGAAAGCAGGACACAUGCAGAUCACUCACUAGAGCGAAUUUUGAAAAUAUCCAGAGAGCAAAGUCGGAAGAAAUGUUUUGAUUCAAGCUAUACAAGUGAAAGGAAUGAUGAUAGUUGGAAACAGAUGUUAGCUAUCCGAGUAAUUAAAUACCGAUCGGAAUAAGAAACAACCAAGAAAAAGAGUUACUUAUUUCUUGUUAUUAAGGUUAAUUCCAAACUGCCAGGGAUUUGAUUAGAGAUUGUCGUAUGCUAUAAAUCUCACAUUAGAUGGUUUUAGCUUCAUUGUUUCGACUUCUCUCUAAGCCUUGUGCUCGUCAAACUUACUACGCAUGUUCUACAAAAUUCUUGUUAGGACAAACUACAUGUCCAAGCUCGAAAUUCAACCACGAAUUUUACCUUCUCUUUCAAUUCCCAUGUCAAAUAUUGGGCCUGGAGAAUAGAUGGCUUUAAGAAACUAAACAAUCAAAGCAUAAACCUUCGUCUAGAAAGCAAUUAAAAUGAAUCCUUGGAGAAAUCACCUUUGUAGAUUCACACUGAUAUUUGUAAUAUAUUUGUCAUUUCAUCUGUAUAUGUUUCAUGAAAAACUGCAAACCAAACUAGUUAAAUAAAUUCUUGUGAAUGACAUCAACUGUAUCAUCAUAUACAGUAAUUAACAGAAGAGUCAUUUCCGCGUUCUUUCAAUUAACUGAGCCAGAUGAUUACUCGCAUCUGUAGAUUUAACGUAAUAAAUUUAGAGUAGGCGCCAAAUGCAAGAUAUAUAAUCAAUUGUCCCAAGUUGCAAGUACAUUUUUUCAUAGUUCUACAAACUCCCAUCUGUUAUCAUUCCUGUUCCACCUCAUCUAGAUUUCUCCCUUGCAGUAUUACUUACUGAUUUGUAACUCUAAGGGCAAAUCAUCGGUAUUCAUAUUAUUCGAAGAAAGUUUACCUUAAGCUCUGAUUAUGAUUUAACUAUCUCUUCUUCUUCUUUCCCAGGAAUUCUCGCCCCAACUCAUCCUAUGAUCUCACUGCUGAACAACUCUAUGCAAAUCUGAUCACUAUGCCUAAAUAUUCUAGAAGGACAAAGUUUAAUAACAACACGUAAUACAUUUUAAUGCCCGACAUGCGCAACAUUUGGCUGAACGGGCAGCACUGCCAGCUCUAUCAACUAAUUUUAGAAAUAAAACUCAUAUACAAAAAAAAAAAAAAGAAACACAUUUGCAAUUCAUUAACAGGUUUAAUGUACUAAUUUUUAACUUCCAAACUUUGUACUCAGGAUAACUAUUUAUUUUGGUAAAGCUAAAAAGUAGAUGCCAGAAUAACAUGGCUGUUUAAUGCCAGAAUAACAAUCAUUGAAAACCGCUAUAACCUUUUUCUAAUAGCUGCUGAUGAAAAGGCUAUAUCAAUGUCAUUUUUGAAAACCAGUAUACACCAUCGGAGGCCAAUUUGAUGGUCCAAUAAAUACAGGGUUUUUUUAAAUUGUCUCGGAAGUUGAGAGGGUUAUUUGUAUAUUUCCCUCUUUGAAAAAGAUAAGAUAAAGCAAAGGGACAGAAAGUAAAAUACCAAUCCAACAGUGAGAAGAAAGAAAAGUACCAAAUAUUCCGUUACAAUGAUACCAAAAGGACAAGAUUAACUUAUACCAUUUCCAAUUAAAAUCACAUCACCAGGUAAGCUAGAUUUCGCCACAAAAUCUAGAUCUAAAAUCAAACUACGGAAGUUCUACACCUCAAAUCUCUCCAGGAAAAUUAUCCCCACCAAAUAAUCAUGUAAAGGAAUAACGCAAUGUUAAUCUAUCACAAAAAAAUAAUAGAUUUAGACCCAGUUUGGACACACGAAAAUGUUGUUCGUCGUCUCUUUUAAUUACGCAAGAAGGUUAUAAUAUUAUGGUAGAUAAGUAAUACGAUCAAAUGCUCAGAAAUGGAAUACCAUAUUUGACCUUCAAAUCAUUUUUCAUCAAAAAUACAUAAAUCACCUCGUACGUGAACAUGAAAUAUGAAAUACUAACAAAUUAAAUCAUGAAUUUUAAGCCUUUUCGAGGAGCAAAACUCAAGCUCUUUGUUUCCAAUCACACAAUUAAAACUAUGAACUCCUCAUACUGAACCUAAUCUAAACAGAAAGAUAUGUAUAAGCAAUAUUACCGAAGAAACUUUACGAAUCUAGCAAUCUAAAAACACUAAUAUCAUCUCAGAUAUGAAAUCCUAACAAAUUAAAUCAUGAAUUUUAAGCCCUUUCGAGGAGUAAAAAUCAAGCUCUUUGUUUCCAAUCACACAAUUAAAACUAUGAAUACUGAGCCUAAUCUAAACAGAUAGAUAUGUAUAAGCAAUAUUACCGAAGAAACUUUACGAAUCUAGCAAUCUAAAAAAAACUAAUAUCAUCUCAGAUCGUUAGGUCAACGCACAAAUUACCUAACUCCAGCAUCGCCGACGAUCCCGAUCGCCAUCCCCGCGGAGAGCCCGGCGAGGCCACACGCGAGCCCCGAGGAGAGGUGCGCGUAGCCAUCGAAGAGGUAGUACGACUUCGCCUUAGGGUUGAUCCCGGUGCUGAUGAUCACGGCGAUGAUGAGGCCGUAGAUCCCGAGCACUCCCGCCAUGACCACGGGCACGAUCGACUUCAUCACCAGCUCCGGGCGCAUCACCCCCAUCGACGCCACCCCGACGCCGCUCUUCGCCGUGCCGUACGCCGCCCCCAUGCCUGAAAGAAGACGAAAACCACAUCACGCAUCGAAUCAAACCCUAGAUCCGUAGGGAGCGCCCCAGAUCUCGGAUCGAAACCCUAGAAAAAAGGAGGGAGGGGAGGGAGCAGGGGUUACAGGAGAAGACGAGCGCCGCCGCCGCGCCGAGGAAGCCGAAGAAGGGGGCGGUCUCGUCGCCGCUGAACGAAGACAUCGUUGGCGUGGGGGAGAGAGGGGAGAGAUCGAAACCCUAGAUUGGGAUCGGAAACCCUAAUACGGAUUCGGAGAAGUGGAGGAGAGGAAGGAGACGCGAGGGGUAGAAGAGGACGAACGAUGGGAGGAUAAAAUUACGAUUCUGCCCCUGGGAGUUUUACCUAUUAACGGAUUUUUAUAGGGGCAAUGGGAAUGGGUGGAUGUUAUGGGCUUAAUGGUCCACAGGAUAAAAUGGAACGCGUCGUCGACACGUAGCACGGGUUGUCAUUACCUGGACCCGGUGCACCACGUCAUCUGUGGACCGUCCAAUUGAAUUCGCCUUGGAUUCCUUCUAUUAUAAAAAUUUUUUUAUUUAUAAAAAAUUAAGGGUAAACUUCAAAUACCACCCCUGUGGUUUCGUAUUUUCUUACUUUAGUGCCUUGUGGUUUAAAAUGUACCAAUUUAGUGUCAUAUGGUUUUAUUUCAUCUUUUUAUUAUCGAUUCUACUAAUAUUUUUUGUUAAAUCAGUGAUAAAGUUAAAACCAAAGGAUACUAAAACGAAUAUUCGAUAAACCUCGAUGGGGUAUUUGAAAUUUUUUGUAUAUAAUUUAACGAAAUAUUAAUGAAAAAGCUGACGAAAAGAUAAAAAUAAAAUAACAGGACACUAACUUGAUACAUUUUAAACUAAAGGGUACUAAAGUGAGAAAGUGCGGAACCACAGGGGCUAACUAGAUAUACUUUAAAUCACAAGGUACUAAAGACAGAAACGAUAAAACCAUAGGGAGUAUUUGAAGUUUACCCAAAUCUAUAUUUUACCCCUCAAUAUUUUAAAUUAUUGCAUUUAGUCCCCCUCUAUCGGGAUUCCAUCACUCUGCCGUCCAUUUCUUAUAAUUUAUACCGAAAGUAUCCUUCAAAAUGACAAAAAUAUAUUAAAAAAUUAUUUUUUCCUUCAAAAUGAUAGAAAUAUAUUAAAAAUUAUUUUUUUCUUAUCGAAAAAGUUAGGACAUUUUGAUUAUUUUGCCUUCUCUAUUAACACCAUAUCUCGUUGAAAAUAUUUCUGGAAUUUUAAGUGAGCAAAAUAUAAGUUUUUAAAAAUCAUGAAGGAAAAAUAAAAAAAUAGAUAUUUAUAGAAGGAUUUUCUAUAAUUUAGCCUUUUAAAAAUUUACAAUAAUUUUAUUUUGUUAGUUGUGUGACAUAAUAUGAUAUAUCAGAUAUUAUUUUUGUAUAAUAUUUAUUAAAUUUACACCUUCGACUUUUCCUUUUUUAGAAAAUAUUCCUCCCAAAGGAAGUGUAUGGCUUAUGUGGCUGACGUGGUAAACUAGGUCCAUACUUAAUUUCCGUGUCAUAAAAUCUGUUUUUUUUAUAGCUUGCAUGUGAAUCACAUCUAAUUGCUACCACACAAUAGAAUCGUGUAUGUGUACGUUUCAUACAGUAUUUAAAUUUUGAUAAUUAAUAUUUUAAAAUUAAAAUUAAAAUUUAUAUUUUAUUGUACAUGAUCUAAUGGACCCAUGUAUGAAAGAUUAUAAUAUUUAAAAUUUUUUACUUAACCAUCAGAUAGUUUUUGUAAUUGACGAUGAAAUAAAUACUAUUGUUUGAUUUGUAAGAAAUAGAGAGACAUUUUAUCUUGAUUUUUAGGAUUUUUUUUCAGUGUACUUAAUUAUUAUCUAUACUAUCUUAUGAAUCCUCAGUUUUGUUACAGGUGGCAGCCAGCGGGAGUAGGAAGGGGAGGGGGCUGGGAUGGGGCCAUGGGGGUGUGAGGCCUAGCGGGGUGCAGGUGGUGUGGGCUCUAACUCUUUUUUUUUUAUUUUUUAUUUAAUUUCUCUCUCUCCACUCAUUUUGAACUUGGGGAAUAAACUCUUAUUUUUAAGGGGCAGUUAGUUAUAUACCUCUGAAAAGUUUCUAACUUUCUGAUUUACCCCUCUUAGAAGGCUAAUAUUAAAAAUACAUUUUUUACGUUUCAACCUAUUUCAAAUAUAUUCCUAGAGUUAAAAUCUGUUAAUAAAAUAUGUUCUCUGUAUAAAAUUAUUCCUAGAGUUAGGGGAGGGGGGCUGGGAUGGGGGUGUGAGGCCUAGCGAGCUGCAGGUGGUGUGGGCUCUAACNAAUUGCCCCUUAAAAAUACAUUUUUUACGUUUCAACCUAUUUCAAAUAUAUUCCUAGAGUUAAAAUCUGUUAAUAAAAUAUGUUCUCUGUAUAAAAUUAUUAUUAAGGUGGUGUGGGCUCUUAACUUUUUUUUAUUUUUUAUUUAAUUUCUCUCUCUCCACUCAUUUUGAACUUGGGGAAUAGACUCUUAUUUUUAAGGGGCAAUUACUUAUAUACUCCUGAAAAGUUUCCGACUUUUUGAUUUACCAUUCUUAGAAGGCUAAUAUUGAAAAUACCUUUUUUACGUUCCAACAUAUUUCAAAUAUAUCACUAGAGUUAAAAUCUGUUAAUAAAAUAUGUUAUCUGUAUAAAAUUAUUAUUUUACCCUUUCAAAAAUAACCUUUCAUCAUCAUCGACUUUUCUUAUUUGCUCUUAAGUCAGCUGCACAACAAGUAUUUUGACUUUGGUCUAAAUAUACCCAUCUACCGUCACCAGCAUUUCUUAUUUGCUUUUAAGUUAAGGGCAAAAAUAGCAUUUUAAUUUUUUUAACUGUGGUAGAUAUUUAACUUACGUUUAACCAAAGUUAACUAACGGGUGGUAGCUGUUGGGGUAUUUUAGAAUAACGGAGGAAUAUAUGAGGCGUAUAUUGGAAAGAAAAAAAAAAGGGUAAAUGAGAUAUUUUUCAAAUUUUGAGGGGUAUAUAGGCAAUUAUUCUUAUUUUUAAUCUAAUUUAAUUUAUCUCUCUCUCUUAUUAUAAAAAUUUAAAAUAUCUGUACUAUCUUAUGAAUCCGCAGUUUUGUUACAGGUGGCAGCGAGCGGGAGCACAAGGGGGAGAGGGCUGGGAUGGGGGUGUGAGGCCCAGCCGGGUGCAGGUGGGGUGGGCUUAACUUUUUUUUUUAACAUUUUUAUUUAAUUUCUCUCUCUCCACUGAUUUUGAACUUCGGGAAUAGACUCUUAUUUUUAAUCUAAUCUAAUUUAUCUCUCUCUCUCUCGUUAUAAAAAUUUAAAAAAUAUAACUAUUUAUAUAUGACUUUUAAAUAAUUUAGAUUAUAUGUACUAAAUAUAAAAUAUGAUUUUAUAAUAUUGCUCACUUAGAUCUAAAUUGUAUAAUAAAAAUAAAAGAGAGAUUAAUAAAGUUUAAGGUACUUAGUUAUUUUAAUAAAAUUAAUUACGAGAAUUAUAUGAUGUCAAAGUAUCAUUUACUGAUGGAAAUUUAACAUAUAAAAAGGUUGGGUAAUAAAAAUAAAAUUUUGAAAGAUUUGAUAGCUAAUUCAAAAUGAUUCAUAGUUUAGAAAAGUUCUAUACAUUUUUAUUUUGAUUUUAAUGUCAAACUUUUAACAUAUUUAUAGUCUGAUGAGCAAUUAAUUUCAUAUUUAAUUUUUUUUGGUAUAUUCAAAAUACGAUUGCUUGAACUUCAAUUUUAACAAUUAGAUAUUAUAAAAUUGAUAGAUAGUUUAACAUAUUCUUUAUUGGAAUAAAAUUACUAAUUAAAAAAAAUGAUCGAUACUCAACUGUGUUUUCGUCUUGGAUAAAAUUAACAUAUAAAAAGGAUAAAUUAUGCUUUUGGUCCUCAAACUAUCGGACCUUUAUACUUUAGUCCUCGAAUUUUAAUAUGUUAUAUUUUCUUGUUCAAAAUACGAAGCACAUGGUGCUCUGCAGCUUAUACUUUAAUUAGUUCCAAUUUUGUGCUCAAACUACAAUGCAUAUGACAUUUUAAUCCUCAAUUUUUAUUAUUGCUCUAAAUAUAAUUUAUUAUUUUUAUGAUUUUUUUCUUAUUUUUUUAAUUUUAUGCUUUUACUAUAGUUGCUGUCACUUUUGAUAAAUCUUUAUCGGUAUGUAAAACAACGAUACAGUAAAUACAUACCAAAAUUCAGGAUCAUAAAUAUGAUAAAAUAACUCACAGGACGUGAUAGAGAAGAAAUUAUUGAUCAAUCUGCGGAAGCGAAAAAUCCAAUACCGAUAUGAACGUCACCAACCGAACUCGAGUAACUUGGUUUCUCCUCCUAUCUCAGACACUCUUGUAUGGAGUGAAACCGAUAGUAAUUCUUCACCAGAAUGCAAUUGAGAAGGUGGCAUGACCAAUAUCUCUUUAUAUAGAGUCCAGAUCGACUUUCCAUCAAAGUUUGAUUAUGAUUCUAUUUAAUUUAAAUAGAUGGGAAAUGAAUAAAAUAUGUCAUAUCAAGUAGUUUUAUAUCUAUUAGGAUUGAUCUUUAUCUAUAGUAAAUCCAAAUUUAAAUAUGAUUAAUUGGGCCACAAUUAUAGAAAUCCUAACAAUCUCCCACUUUGCUUAUAUUAAUCAUAUUUCAUGAACGGAUUUUCUAUACUCCAAACUAUCGGAUCGUUGGCGCUAACCAUUAAUCCCAAAGGCUCGAGCUGUUAGAAAUAUGCAACCAAUUCACUUGAUGUGUACAGAUACAGUGCCUAUGGGUCUCAAUUAUGACUCAGCUCAACAGCCUCACGCCACUUCGAACAUGACUCAACCCAACCCAGCCUCACGCCAUUUCGAACAUGACUCGACCUACAUGGCCUCCCGCCACAGGAUAGGAUGUUGGCCCAUUUAAGCGAGCACAAACUUUAUUGCGCAUUAUUGAAAACUUUAUGGCCAAAUAUCUUAGAACUCACUUGAUCUUUAGCUCAAACUAAAAAAUUACAAUAAUAGGAACUGUGGCAAUUUACCUUUUCAUAUCGAAAUUUUUCUUCCAUAAUUACCAUAUCAUUUUCAUCUCCUAGCCGAGAACUUUAUAUAGUACAACUUUAAGAAUAAACUUAAACUAUAUGUCUAUUCGUUAACAAACAAAACUUUAUGUCUAUUAAAUGAUUCAACACAACUGAUUAAAACUUUAACUUUAUUGAAAGAAAAUAAAUAUUACAACUUUGGCUCAAUUACAUAAAACCCCCAUGUCAAAACCCGAAUUUUCACUUUUCCCUAUGUCAUUUAAAAAUUUACACUUUACCCCCUUAUAAAAUAAAAAAUAGUCACAGAGGGGUACGGUGUAAACUGUGAUGAGAAAAUGAACAUUUUGCCCCUUACCAUUUUUGGCAACAGGAGAGAAAGCUGAGGAAAUUUUUGGCAUAAAAAAUUAUAUAAUAAUAUUUUAUAAACGGAACCCUAACGGAUCACUAAUGGCGGGGGGUGAAGUGAACAUUUUUCAUUUUACAAAGGGGCAAAGUUUAGGUUUUUAAAUCACAGGGGGAGAAAGUGAAAAAUCGAAUUUUGACACAGGAGUUUUCUGUAAUUUAGCCUACAACUUUAUAUAUCACAAAAGAGCUAGUCAAACCCAUACUGCUAACAUGAUCUAUAUAUGACGCAGGUGCCGGCCCCUUAGUCAUUGCGUCUGCAACCAUACACUUAGUACUGAUGUAUUCAAUCGUAACAUAACCUUUAUUCAUCUUCUCUCUCAUAACAUGAUAUUUGAUGUCCAAGUAUUUAUACCUCGUUGUAAUCUUGUUUUAUUGGCAAAGAAAACCGCAGCUGAACUAUCACAAAAUUUUUUUAUUGGACGAGUAAUGAAGUCUACAAUUCUUAAGCAUGUGAUAAAGUUACUAAGCUAAAUAGCUUGUGAUGUAGUCUCAUAACAUCAAUGUACUUUGCAGCCAUAGUUGAAGGAGCAGUAACACUUUGUUUAUAUAAUUUUUUCUCUAAAUAUAUAAUUAGAGAAAAAAGAAGAAAGAAGGAAGAAGAAAGAGAAAAGGCCUAGAAGAGAUAGAAGUAAAGAAGAAAGAAGAAGAAAAAGUUACACGGCUUGAGACAAAGUUAUACUGUUUGAGAUUAAAUUGCACUAUUUGAAGCUAAGUUGCACAACUAGAAACUAUUUGAGAUUAAGUUUCAUCACAUAAAAUAAAAGUUGCACUUUUUGGGACUUAAGUUGGACAUCUAAAACUAUUUAAGGCCAAGUUGCAAACUUCUCAAAUAGUGCAACUUAAGUCUCAAACAAUGCAAGUUAGUCUUAAAUAGUACAAUUUUAUUUUUUGUUGUGCAACUUAGUCUUAUAUAGUUUUAAUUUUGUGUAAGUUAGUCUUAAACAGUGUAACUUUUUCUUUUCUUUUUUCUUCUCUACUUCUUGGCCUUCCUUAUAGCAGUCGCAACGCGUGGUGGCCUUUUUACCAGAAGAAAAAUAUAUAAUUUGUUUUUCAUUUUCGUCUUUCUUGCAACAGCCAUGCAAUGUAGAGAAGAAAAAAGAAAUGAAAAACGAGUACUACAGAAAGACGAAAAUGACGCAUUUAAAGAUAAUUUGUUUUUCAUUUUCGUCUUUUGUCCAUUUUAUCUUUAAACUUCUCUAAACCCAUUUCAAUCAUGUCUAAUAUGACUUUGAUAUGCACUUUGCCAAUUUGGCUAAAGUUUGGUGCAAUAUAUUGAGUUUCUACAUUGCAUGGCUGUUGCAGGAAAGGGUGCGGGAGGGGGGGCAAUAAGGAAGGCCACCACGCGUGAGGACACCUAUUGUAAAUCAACCAUAUUAGCGAGCACACCAGAACAGUAGAGUAUUCGAGUAUCGUAGGCAGUUAAUAUAGCUUUUUCCUUAUCUUUAAGCCACUCUAAUUUAUUUCUUUCGCUUUUCAGGGGUAUAUAAGCAAUUACCCCUUUAUUUUAUUACAAUAAAAUGUAGGAUAAAUUAUGGUAUAAUUUAUUUUAGGAUAAAAAAAUAUAUAUAAAUUCAAAAUCAAGUAUGAUCACUAACUUGAGGGUUAGUAGUCAAUCCAUAAGUAACAUAUUAGGGUAAAUUGCACUGCUAUCUCCUGAACUUUUGGCGAGUUUUACUUAACCCUCCAAACUCCUAAAAUAAACAUCUAACACCCUAAACUCUAAUAUUUCAUUCGUUUUACCCCUUCCAUCAAUUUAAGGUUAACGGAGCUUGACGGAAAAGUGACGGAUGGGGUAACAUGAAUGAAAUAUUAGAGUUUAGAAUGUUAGAUGUCCAUUUUAGAAGUUCGAGGAGUAGAGUGAAACUUCGCCAAAAGUUCAGGGGGUAACAAUGCAAUUUACCCCUUUAUUUUACCUAUCCUUAUAUGGGAUAUAUAGGUUGGUGUAUGUUACUGCUUUAUGGAAGUAGGAAAAAUUUUGUCCGUUCGGCAAAUUUGUUGCACAUGCCUGAGCGGUUCCUUUGGGGCAGGUAUAGGGGCGUGACAGAUAAUAGUGGUAUCAACGCCUAGGACAUAGUUUCUAUGUGGUUUUGGCAAAACCUAAGUUUUAGAGAGUGUGAGUAAACGUGGACUUUGGCAAAAGUGAACGAUCGGGUCUUGUGGCGUCUCCACAGAUUUGGAGACCGAUCAAGGGAGAAGCAUUUCCAUUCUUUAGAUAAUUAUGUUGGAGGCUGACAAUACGAUAUCGGGGAUGAGAAGGAGUGUCCCUCAAGGACUUUCGAUUAAUUAGGUCAAUACUUUUUAUAAUGCAAUUGGAAUUAAGCCGAAAUUUUGGUUAAAUUGUUGAUAAUAUCAUUGUGUUGCAGGAUAGUUGUUAGAAAUUGACCGGCACAAAAGAAAACAUAGUGGAAGAUACUUUUGCACUUUUAAAAUUUUUCAAAAGUUAGAUACAUAUCAUAUAUGAAAACCGAAACCAAUAAAUUAAACUAUUGCCAACGGAUCAUUCUCAUGUUGCUAUGCAAAAAAUUAGUCCAAACAAAAACUUUUUAUGUUUUGAGAUCUUACCGUGGACCAGUUAAGAUCUCUUGAUCUACUAUACGGUUGAAACUGACUAUUGUUGGCUUAAAUGGGCCAGCAUCCUGCCCUGUGGCGGGAGGCCCCAGGUGGGCCGAGUCACAAUCGAGAUCCGCAGGCGCUGUUUUUGUACGCUUUAAGUGAAUUGGUUGCAUAUUUCUAACAGUUCGAGCUUUUGGGAUUAAUGGUUAGCACCAACGAUCCGACAAGUGGUAUCAGAGUCAGAGAUCACGGGUUCGAUUCCCGCUGCCCUGUGGCGGGAGGCUAUGUGGGCCGAGUCAUGUUCGAAAUGGCGUGAGGCUGGGUUGGGCCGAGUCAUGUUCGAAGUGGCAUGAGGUCAGGUGGGCCAAGUCACAAUCAAGAUCCGUGGGCGCUGUUUCUGUACGCUUUAAGUGAAUUGGUUGCGUAUUUCUAACGGCUCGAGCUUUUGGGAUUAAUGGUUAGCGCCAAUGAUCCGACAAUUAUGACGAACAGAAGUUUCGAUUAGCCGCACACGUGCCCGACUUCUACGCAUAUCCACACGAAAUCGCCGCAUACCUGAUCGAUCCUUGUCUCACGAACCGAGUAAGUCGCAGACAACCUGGACGGUGCUAACAAUCCCUUUAUGAUCCACUAGUCGAUGAAGAAUAAAGAAGUUGAUCGGAGAGAAAACACACGUGCGGGAGAGAAAUCAUACUUAUACACAUCUACUUAAUUCAGAUGCAUGGCACCUUAAUUGCCAUGCAUUCAAUUCGUACGGCACUAUGUGCCGUACAGCUCUUCCCUUUUUUGGAUUUUUUUUUGAUUCACUUUCAUCAAUGUACACAUAUACCUAUGUAUAAAUCCGUUUAGAUAAAAUCUUAUCUAAUAAGAUUUCUCUCUUCAAUUAAAUAUUUAUGCUUAUCCAAUUAGAUCAAAUCUAAUAAAAAUUUUAUCUCAUAAGAUAUUAUGAAUAUUUAAUUAUUCUCUAAUCCAAUUAGAGAUAAAAAUUGGAAAAACUUCAAAAACCCUCCCUGUGGUUUCACAUUUUUUUAUUUUAGUACCCUGUAGUUUAAAGUGUAUCAAGUUAGUACCCUGUGGUUUCUCACUUUAUCACUUUAGUACCCUGUAGUUUAAAGUGUAUCAAGUUAGUACCCUGUGGUUUCUCACUUUAUCACUUUAGUACCCUGUAGUUUAAAGUGUAUCAAGUUAGUACCAUGUGGUUUUAUUUUUGUAUCAAAUUAGUACCUUGUGGUUUUUAAACCACGAGGUACUAAAGUGAUAAAGUGCGAAAUCACAGAGUACUAAAGUGAUAAAGUGCGAAACCACAUGGUACUAACUUGAUACACUUUAAACCACAGGGUACUAAAGUAAAAAAAUGCGAAAUCACAGGGUACUAACUUGAUACACUUUAAACCACAGAGUACUAAAGUGAAAAUAAGUGAAACCACAAGGAGAGUAUUUGAAGUUUUCCCAUAAAAAUUAAUCUCUCCGUAUUUAAUUAGAUCUUAUCUAAUUUUAUUCUUAUCCAAUAAAAUUAGUUACUAAAUAUUAAAAUCUCAUUUAAAUAUUUUAUGAUUAAAUAUUAUCCACUAAUCCAAUUAGUGAUGAAUUUAACUCUUUCGCAUAAUUCUCAAACUGAUUCUGAGAUCCUAAUCUAAUUAAGAGUAUCAGUUAUAACCGAAUUAAAUAAUUAAAUCUAAUUUAAUUAAGCAGCUUUUUAUUAUUUUCAUUGCUUACACUAAACUUUUAGUGAACGACUUUUAUCCAAAUGAUUUAGGUGCACACAAUUCUUAAUAUGUGUGACCGCAUAGGUUCAUUACCAUUCGGCAGUUAGGGGUGGAACUGGGCCCGGGCCUAAACAAGGCCCGGCCUGAUGGGCCAUGUUUGGGCCGGGCUUUGGGUAUUAAAAAGAUAACUUUGGGUUCGGGUCGGGCUUAAAAAUUUAGGCCCAAAUAAAAUUUGGGCCUAUUUGGGCAUGCCCAAGCCCGGCCCGAGCCCGACCCAAAAGCCAGAUAUAUUAAUUAUCAAAAUAAAAUAGUUAAUUAUAUAUAUAUAUUAUUUAUCUAUAAAAGAAUAAUAAUAUAGGAACUAGGCUAAUAUACUAUUAAUAGUACCAAGUCAUUGGUGCUACCAAGUUUUUAGCCAUUGGAUUAAGAGAUGUGCGGUUAGGAUGAUGUGAGCCCCUUAGGGUUGAGUGGGUGGUUGGUUGAAUAGUAUGAUCUAACGGGUAAAAAUGAUCAAAAGGGUAGAUCUAACGGUGAAAAACUUGGUAGCACCAAGUGCUUCGUGCUAUUAAUAGCAUAGCAGCCGAACUCAAUAAUACAGUAUAUCAUAUAUAGUAUAUAUUGUUAUUAAUGAUAUUAAUAUAUACUUAUAUAUAUGAGGAUAUAUUAUAUAUUAACAAAAUAUUUAGUUUCAUAUUAGGAUAUAUUUGAUAUUAGAUAUUAAUUUCUUUAAUGUGAUCAAACUAAAAAUAGAUAUUUUAUUUUAAUUUUAUACAAAUAAAAAUAUUUAUGUAUUAUAUGAUAAAUGCAUAAAAUGGGCCUAUACAAAGCCCGAUGGGUUUUGGGCAUUGGGCCGUGGGCUUGGGCCGGGCCUUAAUUUUCAAAAAAAAAUUGGGUAGCAGUCCGACCCGAAGCCCACCAUUUUUUUUGGGCCGGGCUUGGGCAUAGUAUUACCCGACCCAAACCCGGCCCAGUUCCACCCCUAUCGGCAGUGGAGCUCAACAUCAAACUCUUUAAUAUUUAAUUAUAACUCUUCUAAUUGAUAAAUAAGAGCAAUUCAAUUCGAAUCAUUCAUAUUCUNAAAAAAAAUUGGGUAGCAGUCCGACCCGAAGCCCACCAUUUUUUUUGGGCCGGGCUUGGGCAUAGUAUUACCCGACCCAAACCCGGCCCAGUUCCACCCCUAUCGGCAGUGGAGCUCAACAUCAAACUCUUUAAUAUUUAAUUAUAACUCUUCUAAUUGAUAAAUAAGAGCAAUUCAAUUCGAAUCAUUCAUAUUCUCUCACCGUUCAUGAGUGACACCUAGUAGUAUAUCACGGCAGUCUAGAAUGGUGAUAAAGAAUGAACCUUUUCGCUCAGAGUUACCGUGUGAUUAAUUCGUCCCAACAUACAAUGUCCCAAUCGAAUUAAGGUCAUGGUUACUUGCUAAACCUUAUCAUUCGACCAUAUGACUAGAAUAUCUGAAUCAACUCAAUAUGACAACAUAGUAGGAAACUCUUUCCAUAUACCAUGUACCCUAGCCAGGGUUUUUUGAGUCGAGUCCGAUAAACUGCAUAGGACGUUCUCCCUCGUCAUUGAGAGUGUUGGAUUUCUUAUUGCGCGUUCACAUGCCUUCCUGCAUAAAUCAUUACAGCCAAUCAGUACCGAAUAUAGACACAUGUCUAGAGUCUAAGUAUUAGUACUGUCAAAUGGUAGCAACCUAUAUGUGAAGCAACUAUGAGGCCUCAAGUCCGAGGAGUACUUCACACAACUGUAGCAAUGAACUUGUUACUGGCGAGCAUGGAACCAUAUGACUAUUAAACUAAAUAAUUACGCCCAAUGUACUUGUUCUUUAACAAGCACAUAUAUGCUUGUUCUAGUGUCCUUACACUAGUGAAUUGAGAUUCGUCACUUCAAUUAGAAACAUAGCAUACACCGGCCUCUCCAGAAUAUCAUCGUCCCUGUAAUAUUCCUCUGGCUAGGAGCAUUUAAAGAGUCUCGUAUAGAAAAAUACAUAUCUCAAAUUUCUAACUCUUAGGACUAUGUCUUUUCAAACAAAAAUUUUAUGGACAAUUUACGUCAAUAUUGCACUGUUAUACAAUAGACAUGAAUAGAAUAUCUGCCCUUAUAUUAUGAAUUAUAAAUAGUUAAUACAUAAAUACCGUUAAACCAGUGUCACCAGAUUGGCUUUUGGGUAUGUAACUAACAAUAGUGAUCUUACUUGAAUGAAGUGUGUGAGCUUUAUUAUUAGAUAACCGUGUUGAUUGGUGUAGUUGAGAGGCAAGCUGAGGCCUUUUGAUGCCAAGAGGAGUAGAUUAAGAAGCUCGACCAAUCCAUAGCAUAGCAAGCUGGGGCUGUGCAAACGAGUCAGGAGCUGACUCCCCCACCCCAAUAUGCUACUGAAGGUAUUGCGGUGGCAGCCGUGUCUAUUUUGGAGCGUCCCACGCUAUCAGAGACUAUGAGGCGACACCUCUCAAGAUGGAAUCAGAUACCUCCGCAUGGACCUCGAACGAGCCUAAGUAACUUCAAGAAGUUCAACCUGCCAACAUACAGUGGCAAGUGCAUGGACCCAUCGCCAGUCAAGAUGUGGGUCAAUUCAAUGAAGAAAUUGUUCGACAGCCUAUAAAUUCUGGACUGGGACAAGGUGUCAAGGUCUGCCCACUGCUUGCAUAAAGGUAGCUCAACGAGGAUGAAAAAAGGAGAAGGCCAACUGACCCGCCAACUUGUCACCGACAAUUUAGGAGAAUUUUCAGGCACUUUUCUUCAAUGCAUUCUUCCCGAUAGUGUAAAGUAAUAAAUAGAGGAGGAUUUUAAGAACCUACUCUAGAGAAAUCACACGGUGUUGGAGUAUGAGCAGGAGUUCUCUUGCAUUGUGAGCUACAUCGCUUUCAUUGUGCAGGAUGAGAAGAACAAGCCCCGGUGCUUUGUGCAUGGUCUCCAACCGGAGAUAUACAAGAUGGUCCAACCUAUCGACUUACAAACCUUUUGGGAGGUUGUGGAUCGAGCCUUACUUUUUGAAAGGGGUGAGCCGAUGGUGCAGUUGGAGCAAAAAGCUUGUGAGAAGGGCAAAGAGAAGAAGCAGUCCAUAGGUGGCUCUAGUGGCCAAGAAAGCUCAAAGUGGCCUUCUAAACACAUAUGCUCAUAGUCUCAAUCACACAGGUCCUAUGCUCCAUAGCCCUGACCUAGGUGCGUGAUAUAUAGUGGAGGCCACCAACCCCAGCAAUACAGAAGCGAGAUAGAAAAUGUUUCAAGUGUGGCAAGCUUGGCCACCUGGCAGCUGAUUGUUAUAGUGAAUCACCGGCUCCAUCUUCUGUUUCUGUUCUAUUCACCCCAAGACAUUCUGCAAGGGUCUCACUAACCAUUACCUAAGGUGGACGACCUCUAAUGCCGUGAUAGCUUGAAGGGACUCGACAGACACCUAGUGGCUGGGUGCUUGCGAUACGUGGAGGAUCAGCUAAUCGCCGACAACGUCAUGACAAGUAUCGUUUUGUUAAAUGAUGUAAGGUGUUGGGCAUCGUUUUAAUACGGGUGCAUCGUAUUUAUUCAUAAGUAGGACAUUUGCUCUUGCUGACGGAAUUUGCAUAGUAAAGGCCACGCACUAAGUGGGUUCAGGUUUCAAACCAUGAAUUCUUUGUCAUUGAUUAUUGCUCUACUUGUCCGGUGUGAACAAGUGAUUGGAUUCUGCCGAUAGAUUCUUAGUGUUGAGACGGAUUGAGAGUUUUGAUAUUGUGCUAGGUAUAAACUGGCUCCUGAGAUACUAUGCUAUUACUGAUUGUGAGAGUCAGGUCAUCAUCUUUCAUGAACUCGGACAAAAGGAGUUUGUCUACCGGGCUUAUAGAAGCUCACUUUUUUAUAUGACAGUAUCCACACCCCAAGCCAAUAAGUUGAUGGGUGGCAGAUGUGUUGCCUAGUUAGCUACAGUAGUAGAAGAUCGAGCUGAGUCUCCGGUACUUGAGGGCAUUCCCAUAGCUAGAGAGUUUUCAACUGUGUUCCCAGAGUUAUAGGAAAUGCUGUUGUACAAAAGAUCAAGUUUGUGAUUGGCUGAUUCUUGGGACCGCACUGAUAUUUAAAGUACCAUAUCGUGUGGCACCAACAGAGUUGAGAGAGCUUAAGACUCAAUUGCAGUAUUUAGUAGAGAAGGGCUUCAUCAAGCCAAUUGUGUCACUAUGGAGAGCUUUAGUGCUAUUUGUGAGAAAGAAAGAUAGAUCAUUGCGGUUGUGCAUGGGUUAUAGGAAGCUCAGUAAAGUCACAAUCAAGAAUAAGUUCCACUGUCUCACAUUGAAUUUUUGUUUGAUCAGCUUCAGGGGGUCCCAAGUGUAUUCCAAGAUUGAUUUUCAGUCAGUAUAUCAUCAAUUAAGGAUCAAACCAGAAGAUGCGUACAAAACGGCAUUCAGAACAUAAUACGACCACUAUGAAUUCAUUGUCAUGUCGUUCUGACUCAUGAACACCUCGACAGCCUUUAUGGAUCUUAUGAAUUGCAUCUUCAAGUCUUUUCUAGACUGAUUUGACAUGGCUUCAUUAACGACAUUCUGAUAUAUUCCCGAAGUGAUAAUGAACAUGAAGAACAUCUAAAGAAAAUCUUACAACUUCAGGAGAGGAAGCUUUUCUCCAAGUUAAAAAAGUGCAAAUUUUGGCUUCGAAAAAUUGUUUUCUUGGGGCAUGUGAUUUUUGAAGUUGGGGUCUCAGUUGAUAGAAAAGGUGGAAGCAAUCAAGGAUUAGACUCACCCUACAAAUGUCACCAAAGUCCGAAGCUUUCUCGAUUUUGCAAGGUACUACCGGUGGUUUGUAAAGAGGUGUUCAAAAAUCAUCAUUCUACUCACACGCUUGAUGCAUAAAGGAGCCCAGUUCAUUUGGAGUGAUAAAUGUAACGAAUUCCUCCAAUUGUUGAAUGACAAGUUGACGUUGAUUCCAAUUCUCGCUUUGCCUACGGUACAAAAGAAUUUCGUGGUGUAUAAUGAUGCAUCCCGAAGUGGUUUUGAGUGUGCCGUGAAGCGGGCGGACAAAUUGAUAGCCUAUGCCUCUUGACAGUUGAUGUAACGACCCGACCCGCUAACAAUAAUAACUCGUUGGGCCUAAACCACCAGCCCAAAAUGCUUAAGCCAAUUAUUAUUAUUAGGGUGGAGUCCUCUUAUAAACCUAAUGACAACUCCAUUUUCAUCCGAUAUGGGACUAUUGGGAUGUCACAGACUCCCCCCGGCCUAAGAUCACCAGAUGAUGUGAGACUUAUCUUGCUAGCCUUUGUCAUUCUGACCCUCACUUAGCCUGUCAAUCACCGACCUUGGCUUAAUCCGUCACUCCGACCCUGGCUGAGCCAAGACUCAUCUUAUACUUCUGGCUGGUGAACUGGCUCUGAUAUCAAAUGUAACAACCCGACCCGCUAGGAAUAAUAACUCGCUGAGCCUAAACCACCAGUCCAAAAUGAUUGAGCCCAAUUAUUAUUACUAGGGUAAAGUCCUCUUAUAAACCCAAUGAUAACCCCAUUCCUAUCCGAUGUGAGACUAUUGGGAUGUCACAGUUGAAGAGCUAUGAAAGAAUUACCCUACCUAUAACCUAGAAUUGGUUGCCGCGACUUUUACUUUGAAGUUGUGGCGGCAUUAUUUAUAUGGCGAGCAUUGUGAGAUCUACAUGGAAAAUAAUAAUGUCAAAUACUUGUUCACUUAAAAGGAGUUGAAUUCGAAGCAGCGCAGACAAUUGAAGUUGCUAAAGAAUUACAACGUCAUCAUCCUAUAUCAUCCCAGAAAGGCAAGAUCUACACCGGAACACAAUAGUGUCAAGUAGUUGUUCACUUAAAAGGAAUUGAAUCUGAAGCAAUGCAGACAGUUAGAGUUGCUAAAGGAUUACAGCGUCAUCAUCUUAUAUAAUCCCGGAAAGGCAAAUAUGAUAGCAGAUGUACUAAAUUAAAAGUCAGUGGAGAAUCUUGCAAUGUUAACGAUCCAAACGCCACUACAAGAGAAGAUGCGGCAAUAUGAGUUGCAGUUGUUGCACGCGAUGCCUCAUCGAGGCGAAACUCAUAAUACUCAUAAUGCAACUGAUUUUGUUGGAAAGAGUCAAUAAGAGAAGAAAUAUCGGAUUUGAACCUCCAAAGGAAGCGGUCCAAUAUCGAGAAUGGGCGUGCGAAGGAUUUUGGUGCGGACUUCAGUAUAGUGUCUUACGAUUUCAAGGUAGAUUGUGUGAGUAUAAUAAACUGGAGAUUUUGAAGAAGAUUUUAAGAAAAGCACAUCAUAUUUUGUAUAUUAUUUAUUUGAGUGGUUGCAUUUGGUUUGGGUAUAAAUAAGAACUGCUUAUUUCAGAAAUAAAUAUAAGUUUAAGUAUAAGUAGGAACUAGACCAAUUUUACAUUUGGAUGAAAAUUGAGUUGUUACUAGGAAUAAUGUAAAUAGUGUUUGGAUGGUUAGAUUGGAAUAAGAAGAACAAGAAUUAUAAUUUUAAAUUAAAAUUAUUUUAUCUAAGUAAUUAAUAUCAAAAUAUUACUUAAAAAUAAUUUAAUAAAUUAAUAAAUUUAUUAGCUAUGAAUAUUGUAUAAGAUAAUGAAAAUAUAUAUUAAUUACUUAAUUAAAUAUAAAAAAUAAUUUAACUUUUUAAUUAGUUAGUAAAUUAUUUUAGCUAGAUAACUAGUAAAAAGAAUUAAUUAGAUUAAUAGAAAUGUUAAUGGUUGAUCAAUAUAAAUAUUAGUUUAUGGAUAAAUACAUUAAAUUAUUAAAAAUUAAUUAUAAUUAAUUAAUUAAUUUAUUAUUUAAGCAAUAAAUAAUAAUUUAAAUAUAUUAAUUAGAUUAAUUAAUGAUUAAUACCAUAAUUAAAAUUAAAUUUAGACUUUAAUUUAUCUUGUUCCACCUUGAAACAAGCUUGUUUCAGGAAAAAAAGUGGAACAACAAUUCUACCCUUAUAUCAAUUUAUUUCAAAAAUUCAAGUACUACUGUUCUCGAGUACUAAAUACCGCGUUUGGGAACAAAAGGGGAAACACAGACUUAUCCCCUUUUGCUCCCGAACCAGACGCUGCCUUAAAAUGCAUAAGAAUUUAAAAUUUUAUUAUUGAUAAUGCUAUGAAGUAUAAAGGUUUUUUCAGGGGGUUUUUAGUUCAAUAGUCCCUUUCUAAAAUUUUAUUUUAAAAAUAAAUCUGUUAAAACUUUAUUUGCAGAGGUAGUUUUCUAAAAGCGGUGAAUGAUUUACCGUUUUUAUUAUUUUUCUAUUGCUAAAUAGAAGUUAUGAAUGCGGUGAAUGAUUCACCGUAUUUAAAAGUCUAUUUUUAUAAUUAUUUGUUUAAGAAAAUUAUUUUUAUAAUUAUAAAAAUAGAUAGGAUUAGUUGUAAAAAAUAUUUUUUUUUUUAGGAUAGCUCAGGAGUCUUUCCCAAAAAGAAUUUUUUUAAGAAUUGUUUUUGACUUUUUUUUUUUUUUUUUUUUUUUUUUUUUGAGAAACCAAACCGCCUCUAACGGAGUGACAACUGACAAGUGCGGCGUCUGGUCUACACGUAUACACUAAUAAAUUUCCUUUUUUUUUUUUUUUUAAUUCUUCCUCCCAUUUUACUGUGUUUUGCAUUUGGAGAGAGAGAGAGAGAGAGAGGAGAGGAGAGGAGAGGGGGAGAGAGUGGCGAUGGGGAGGGCGAAGGUGAUCGCGUGGGGAGCGGCGAUCGUGGCGUUCGUGGUGCUCAUGAUCGUGACCCCGGCGAUCCCGCAAUCCGAGGAGUACCACGACUUCGCCGAUCAGCGGGAGCUCUUCUUCGGUAUCGAUACACAAACCCUAGCCUCGUUCUCCUCGUCGUUCUCUAGGUUUUCCAUUCCUGUUUCUAGGGUUUGCAACGCAUCGAUGCGUGUAAAAAUGUAUGGAGACCCUAGUUGUUUUGAUUUGAGUUAUUUUUCGUAUGUUGGAUUGAUGAUCUAACGAAAUCUGUAGCGGUUACUGUGAUCUGCAGUUCCAUCUGUCGAAAUGUGUUCGAAAUAGUUAAAUUUUACAGGAUUAGUAUUUGAUUGAACAAAACCUCGGAGUUAAUUGAUGGAGAUAACAUACAUCAAGUGGAUCAGUUGGGGAAAGGGGGCCGAGUUUGUCAAAAGAAAAUUAGUUGAGGGACCAUAUUUCCCCUAUAAUUUAUACAGGAUUAGUAUUUGAUUGAACAAAACCUCGGAGUUAAUUGUUGGAGAUAACAUACAUCAAGUGGAUCAGUUGGGGAAAGGGGGCCGAGUUUGUCAAAAGAAAAUUAGUUGAGGGACCAUAUUUCCCCUAUAAUUUAGGGGAUUAUGUGCAGUAUCACCUUAAUGCUUCGCAUGAUUCCGAAUAUGGAGGCUGAUCCUUUUACUUAGAAUGACUUGUUGAUCUUUUUGUAGUAUCAAUUCAAUAUAUUCUAGCUCAUAUUCUUGAGCCUAUUAUAAGUGAUCUGUGCGAACUUUGAUAACUCUUAGAUGACCUAAUACAACUCUUUGAUCAUUAUGCGGCCGGAGAAGGCAUAGGAGCUUGUCCAUAGCAAUUUAUCAGAGUUUGGGGCUCUCAAUUUGCCUUAUAUUUAGCAUUUUAUUUUGUUUGGUGUUAAUUGAAAGUUAAAUGAUUUAUACAGUGUCUUAGGUUUGUUGGGGUGUGCAUAUAUGCCUUGGCAUGUGCCUUAGGGAUAGGUAUGGAUGCUUAAUUUGUGUAAUUAAAUAUGAAAAUAUUUGAAUCAUUAAAGCUUAAUAGCCUUCGUUAUAGUAAAAAAAAAUGAUUUGCUUUCAGCCCUCUGUUUUAAUGUUAUUGGAUGCUCAUUUACUCAAAUUUUGAGUUUUUGAGAUCCCAUGCCCCUCCAGAAGAAAAAAGAGAAAAAUUGGAAAAGUUCAGUGCAAAAUUGAAUUGAAUCAUGAAUUGUAAACUUAGCCUUAUGGAGAUGAACACUCUUUUAAUUGGUGGGGUCUGGGACAUUUCCCUUGAAUAUCAUUGGUCAAAAGAUACAAAAAAGGGAACAUGAAAUAUUCCUCAGCUCAUUACCUACUGAUCAGCUUAUGGUUUGUUCAGGUGUCAGAAUUAGGUAAUGAAGGUUGGUGAGUUAUCAAAAGGUGAGAACUUCAUUUGGAGUUUCCAACUCUUAAAGGAGCAGAAAGAGAAAUACAGUGAAAUUGGGAUGGUUUUUGGUGCUAGUCAUUAUCUCAUUUGGACAGUUUAAAUAUCCUAGAGAGAGUUCUUAAGUUAUUGAAAAUUUUGACAAGCUCUUUUUGAGCAUUUGCAACUUUCCUUCAUUCUACUCUAAUCAAAUUUUUGAAAGAAACCCUUGGUUUUUGGAGGUAUCUGUAGGAUUUGGUCAUCCAAACUGGUCUUAAAUCAUCUCCCUUUUGGUACAUAGUAUCUGAAAAGAAUAAAAAUUGUCAAAAUUUUCGGUUCUUGAUGGCUAACUCUUCUCGUCCCUCUUGUUAUUCUUUCAUUUGCAACCUCUUUCUUAGGUAUAAUAUGUUUGUCCAUGUAGUUGAGCUUACAAAAUUAUCAUUUAAUGAGGAAUAUUGAUGCCAAUUACACAAAGUGCACUUCGUUUCUUGAAGAAGCCAACUGCAAUAGUUGAAAUUUGAAAAGUCUAGAAGUUUAUAAGCUUCAUUUGUAAUUUUUCUUUUGCUGAUUGAAUUACAUGUCUAACAUUUAGUGCUACAAUAUUAUAUUUUCCUAACUUUGUUCUUUCAUGAUUUUUCUUAUUUUUUCUGCAUGUAUUUAGCUCCGUCAUAGAUUAAUGAUUGUCUGCUGCUAUCUGCUGCUACCUAUACUUUUUAUAAUGCAAUGAAUAAUGAAAUCAUGCAAUUUUGAAAUUAUUACUUUUUGCAGGGAUACCUAAUACACUAAAUGUCAUUUCAAAUAUUCCUUUCUUUUUUGUGGGCCUUGUUGGUCUUGUACUUUGCCUUCGUGGAAACUACUUCAGGCUAAGGUAGUGAGUCGAUAUUAUUUCCUCUUGCUGUUUAUUAUAAAUAAAACUGUGAAGACCUGUACUUAAUAUUUUGAUUUUAUUACCCAAAGCUCAUAGUACUGUUGAUUAAAUUACCUCGCAGCCAGAGGUUAUCUGUAUUUUAUCUUUUUUAAUAGAAUAGUCUGUAACCUUACAGCAUAUGUUGUUAAUUAACAUAAUAUUCUAUUACAUUCUGAUGGAAGAUGUUAAGAUCCAAACUUGAUAGUAAUUUCUGAAGUUAAAAAAAGAAAAGGAAAGGUGAGGUGGUAGAAUCAAAACUUUAAAGUUCAGGUCCAACAUUUGUGCACUGUAGUUUGCAGAAGGCUUGUAUGUUUGUACGUUUAUUUUAAAACAAAAGAUUUUGACUUGAAAAGGUCUUCUUUUGGUUGCUUACAGCUCCCAAGGCGAGCUAUGGGGUUGGAUAUGUUUCUUUGUUGGUGUGGCUGCUGUCGCUUUUGGCUCUUCCUAUUACCAUCUGAAGCCAGAUGAUGCUCGGCUUGUCUGGGAUCGCUUACCUGUGAGAUUUUCCAAAAAAAUUAAACCACACUAUACUUUGAAUUUUACCUUGUGGAUUGUUAACUAAUUAAGAGCCCAUGCAAUGUUCUAAUGUGAUUCAUGCAUCUUGUGUGAACUCUGGAGCCCAUUUCAGAAAUUAGUUGCAUAUGUGUGGUAUUUUGUAAACUGUGUACUUUAAUGAGACAAACUAUGUUCCAUUACAUAAAUAUGAAGAACUUCUGGACCUUGCAACAUUUGAGUCAAAACCUUCGUCUUCAUAGUAGAAACACUCUCUGCGGUUUCUUCAUGUAAUCUUAUGUUCUUUUCUAGGAUUACGGGAUGAAGAUGGGAGUUCAUAUCCUUAUUUAUUUAAAUAUAUUCAUAAGAAUUUCUGUUUUAUUGAAUUUUUAGCAAAUGCUUUCUUAAGACUGGAUUCAUUCUCCUAUAAUUUCACCAUAUGCUUCUGUACUUCCAUUUAAUAAUCUUAUUAUUGUGGACAUCUUGAUUUUAGUUUGUCAGAUUAGUUAUUCUUCUCUAUCAUGAUAAACUUUAGAGCAAUGCUAGCUGUACACCCCUAGAAUAAGGGUAAAUUUUACACCCCACUUGUCCUACAGCCACUAUUUUCCACUUGUCUUAUCUACUUUAUUUUUUAAUACUAAACACUCUUUGGGGUUUAUUGAUCCUAGGAUGGAAGGGUUGUAAGAUUUACACCUAUAUAUAGGUGUGUCGGUAGCAUUUUCAUAAACUUUAUUCAACAAUGGUUUUUUCAGUCAGUAUUGAUAGGCAGGUUUUCUGAAUUAUAUUAAGAUAUAUUUCAUCAUUUUUAAUCAGUGUUCAUAAAAAUUCUAUACGAGUUAAAAGUUAUACUAAAUUGGUGUCAAUGGAAUAAACUGGACUAAUCUCCCCUGAAUUAACCAAAAAAAUGAUCUAGAGAACUUCUCUUUUUUUU